rnacentral:lncRNA from 1 species
ACACCCAAUUUACUUUUUAUGCCCAUAUUGUAUUUGAUUUAUCUAUCAUUAUCUCUUUACACCCAAUGUUAUUUCUGAAACCGUCCUUACUUAUCAAAACUCAACUCAAUCAAACUUCUUUUUACACCAAACUCAAUCUACUUAAAUAUAAAAAAUAAAACCCCAAUCAGUCCAUCAUCUCCAUGGAGCAAAGCCCUUUGUCUCUCUCUUUAAAAAAUCCUUCCAUCUCCCAUGGUUGUCAUUUUGCACCCCCAUCUACUCCUCCAUAGUCAUCCAAACCUCUUCCUCUUCAUUUUCUUCAUCAUUUAACAUCUCUAAAUUUCUGGAGCACUAAUUAGCUUAAUAAUUGGUUUGUGUUCAAUCGAUUGGUUCAAUUUUUAUGUAUUGAUUCCUUUUUCUUUUCAACUAAAUGAGCUUCUGGUUAGUGUUUAAUGAGUUUUGUAUGUUUCAAUUAAAUGAGAAUCUUCUAGACUCUAUAUUCCUAUUUGUGGUAGAAAAAUGGGUAUGUCCAUGAUAACUUUUGGUAGAUCAAUGAAUAUUUUUAACCGUGGAUAUUUAUUUUAUUUUGUUUUUGUCGAAACCGUGGAUAUUUAUUAGAUACAAAAGUUGUGGACAACAAUUCACAUUACAUUGAAUUGUGGCUAAAAAGUAUAUCGUCUUUGUACGUUUUAAAGGCGAACUCAUAGCUAAGCAGUUUUUAUUGUGGAGCAAAACUUCGAGAAUUGAUCUAACCUGGAUGUGUAAUUGAGUUUAUGCAUUUUAAUAAUUAAAUUGAUAAAUAUUUCAACUACAUAUGGAUUUAAUAUCGUAGUAUCUUUUAGCCUCUAUAUGCCACACUAGUUGCGGACAAAAAUUCACAAUACAUAGAAUUGUGGUAAAAAAAAGUAUAUCGCAUUUGCAUGUUUUAUAGGUGAACUCAUAGGUAAGUAGUUUUUAUUGUUGACCAAAACUUUGGGAAUUGAUCUAACUUGAAUGUAUAAUUGAGUUUAUGCAUUUUAAUGAUUAAAUUCAUAAAUAUCUCUAUCGCAUAUGAAUUUAAUAUCGUAGUGUCUUUUAGCCUCUACAUUGGUAUAUGUGGCAAAAAAAUGGGUACCUCCAUGAGAAACUUUUGUAGAUCGAUGAAUAUUUUCAAUCUGAAUAUUUAUUAGAUACUAGAAAUUAUAAGUCUAUUUGCGAAAGUCUAAGUCAAUGCCAGGUAGAAUAUUUGUUAAGAUAUAUUUAGAGAACUGUUAUUAGCACUCCAAAAAUCUCAUUCUACACUUUGUACAAGUGUAUUUUUCUUUCUAAUUAUAGAAAGUUAGGAGUGCCAAAUUCGAUUUUUGGAGUGCUAUAGCAAUUUUCUAUAUUUAUAUACAUUUUAUUUUAGUUUGGAAAUCGAUUUCCUUUUUUUUCUUUCUUUAUCAAGUUGGGAGUAUCACUGACUGUGACCCUGUGCAACUAGUUGUUGAUUUGUUUUGAAUAAUCAACAUUAUUUCUUACAAUAUCUUGGGCGUAUGAAUAACAGAAAGAAAACGGUCAUAAUACAAGCUAAAUAAGAGUAGUACUAAUUAGUAAACUACUUGUGCAUGAUGUUUGCUUAUAACCAAGUGGCAUGAAGGGACAAAUGUGUAUGUUUCAUGCAUGACUUGAAAUAGUAUUAGUAAAGUCACACAAGCCAACCAACUUGUUGGCAAGUGACCCUUUACCACAGUGGUGAAAAAGUGUUGUGCUUUUGCAUGACAACGUGAGUUCGAAUUUUGUUGGUAACUGAUCUAACAUCUAACUUACUAAUGCUAUCACUCAACUAAAAAAAAAUAUAUAUAUAUAUUCGAAAUGUAUGUAGUGGAUAAACACAAUCUCAAAAUUUAAUUAAACUCACAUAACAAUGAUAAAUAAAGGCAUUAUCAAAACUUAAGGGUGGUGAGCAAUCCCAUUAAAAUAGAACUUAAUAUAUACAUGUUAAAAACAAAAACAAAUUGAUGCAAAGUCUCCCGACGACUAAUAUUAUUCCAAGUCAUGCAUGAAACAUACACAUUUGUCCCUUCAUGCUCCUUAGUUAUUAGCAAACAUCAUGCAUUUACUAAUACUAUUCCAAAUCAUGCAUGAAACCUACAUAUUUGUCACUUCAUAUAAGCAAACAUCAUGCAUUUACUAAUACUAUUCCAGUCAUGCAUGAAACCUACACAUUUGUACCUUCAUGCCACUUGGUUAUAAGCAAACAUCAUGCACAAGCUGUUUACUAAUUAGUAUUACUACUAUUCAACUUGUAUCAUGACUAUUUUCUUUCUGUAAUUCAUACGUCCAAUACAUUGUAAGAAAUAAUAUUGAUUAUUCAAAACGAAUCAACAACUAGUUGCACAUGAUCACAAUCAGUGAUACUCCCAUCUUGAUAAAGAAAGAAAAAAAAAAGGAAGUCGACUUCCAAACUAAAAUAAAAUGUAUAUAAAUAUAUAAAAUUGUUAUUAGCACUCCAAACUUUCUAUAGUUAGAAAGAAAAAUACAUUUGUGCAGGUGUAGAAUGAGAUUUUUGGAGUGCUAAUAACAGUUUCCUAAAUACGUCUUAACAAAUAUUGUACAUGACAUUGACUUAGACUUUCACAAAUAGACUUAUAAUUUCUGGUAUCUAAUAAAUAUCCAAAUUGAAAAUAUUCAUCGAUCUACAAAAUUUUCUCAUGGAGGUACCCAUUUUUUUGCCACAUAUACCAAUACAGAGGCUAAAAGACAAUACGAUAUUAAAUUCAUAUGUGGUCAAGAUAUUUAUGAAUUUAAUCAUUAAAAUGCAUAAACUCAAUUAUACAUUCAAAAUUUCCCGAAGUUUUGGUCAACAAUAAACUGCUUACCUAUGAGUUCACCUAUAAAACGUGUAAAGACGAUAUACUUUUUAACCACAAUUCUAUGUAUUGUGAAUUUUUGUUUGCAACUUUUGUGGCAUAUAGAGGCUAAAAGAUACUACGAUAUUAAAUCCAUAUAUGGUCGAAAUAUUUAUCAGUUUAAUUAUUAAAAUGCAUAAACUCAAUUACUCAUCCAGGUUAGGUCAAUUCUCGAAGUUUUGCUCCACAAUAAAACUGCUUAGCUAUGAGUUCGCCUAUAAAAUGUGCAAAGACGAUAUACUUUUUAGCCACAGUUCAAUGUAAUGUGAAUUGUUGUCCGCAACUUUUGUAUCUAAUAAAUAUCCACGGUUUAAAAUAUUCAUUGAUCUAUCAAAAUUUAUCAUGGACAUACCCAUUUUUCUACCACAAAUAGGAAUAUAGAGGCUAGAAGAUUCUCAUUUAAUUGAAACAUACUAAACUCAUUAAACACUCUAACCAGAAGCUCAUACCGAUUAUUAAGCUAAUUAGUGAUCUAGAAAUUUAGAGAUGUCAAAUGAAGAAAAGGAAGAGGAAGAGGUUUGGAUGACUACGGAGGAGUAGAUGAUGACAACCAUGGGAGAUGGAAUGAUUUUUUAAAGAGAGAGAGAAGGGGAUUUGCUCCAUGGAGAUGAUGGACUGGUUAUAGUUUUAUUUUGUAUUUUAAAGUAGAUUGAGUUGGGUGUAAAAAGAAGUUUGAUUGAGUUGAGUUUUGAUAAGUAAGGACGGUUUCGUAAAUAAUGUUGGGUGUAAGUAGAUAAUGAUAGAUAAAUCAAAUACAAUGUGGAUAUAAAAAGAAGCCAAGUGUUAAGAUACAAAAUCUAAGUUCAAAUAAAAUUUCCUUUUUCAAAACCGCUCCCAAAAAAAAUGAUGAAUAAGCAUCAGCAACACUACCCACCACCUUCAUUUCCAAAGCAAUUCCUCAAUGCCCAAAUCCACCUCCAUAAAAUCGUCUCAAGUUUUCUAAUCUUUGCUUUCGGUUUAGCACUAGGCGCUUCCCUCAGCAUCCACCUCAAAGAUUUCCCCUUCCAACUUUAUUCAACACAAAACAAAUACUCUCAUUUGGCAACAAAUAAUCUAACAUUUUCUUCUCCACCACCUCCACAAUCUCUCAAUAUCCCAACAAAUAAUCUAACAUCUUCUUCUCCACCACCACCACAAUCUCUCAAUAUCCCAACAAAUCAAACAAAAGCCAAUACCUCCGCCGCCAGACCGGCACCACCAAUAGGGUUGAAAGAAUACACUAAGUCGCCGAAUAUUUUGCAUGAAAUGGACGACGAUGAGCUGUUGUGGAGAGCUUCUCUGGUGCCGCGACAGCGGGUUUUGCCAUUUAAACGGACUCCGAAAGUUGCAUUCAUGUUUCUGACGAGAGGGAGCCUGGCAAUGGCUCCUCUCUGGGAAAUGGUCUUCAAAGGACAUGAAGGGUUGUACUCCAUUUAUGUCCAUGCCAAUCCGGAUUUCAAUGACCCCAUGCCUGAAAACUCGGUUUUUUAUGGCAGGAGGGUUCCGAGUAAGGUCAGUUUUUCAUGUUACAAUCCUAAUUUUUCUUGAUUAAUUUUCAUCAAGCAUUUGUGUUACAAGUGUUUUUAUCUAAAUUAGAUAAAAAAAUGGGAAUGUAUAUGAUUAACUUGUAGUUGUUCAAAGCAAUGAUGACUUUGCGUGUAUACAUAUAUAGCAAAUUGAAUUACACCACACUAUAUUUAGAAGAGUAAUGUUAGAGAGACUAAAUUUUGUAAACUAAAUGAUAUGAAAGUGGAUGAUUGAAUUAUUACUUCCCAAGCCAACCUUUCUUAGUGUUCUGUUUGGUUAACUGAUGGUAUAGAGUCGAAUGCUUUAUGCUAGCUUCAUUAAAUUUUUUGUGUACGCGAUAUGUUCUCCUUUUUGUUACAACGAUAUUCUACCCGGUGUAAAAUUGUUUGAGUUAAUUCACAUAAUGGAUUAUCCAUAUUUAAAUAUUAAAUUUGAAACCUCUUACUUACAAUUGAAGAAGAAAAAAAUCAUUAAACUAUAGUACUACACAUUAUUGCUUUAAUUUUGAUAUUCAACUUUUCUCCGCAAUCAAAUUUGCACAAGAAUAUUUUUUUUGGGUAAAUUACAUAGUAACCCCUCAGGUUUGAGGUCUAUUACAAUCUCAUACAACAUAUUUAAAACAUUUCACUUUCAUACCUCAUGUACUAUUUUAUUUCAAAAUAAUACAUUCGUUAUAUUUUUCAUCCAUUGGUCUGUUAAAUGCUGACAUGGCUACCACAUUUGUGCUGAUGUGGCAGCCACGUGGCAAUUUUUUUUUUAAACCUGAACUUUAAAAAAAAAAAAAAAAAAAAAAAAAAAAACUGAAAAACCCACCCUACCUUCCCCGCAACCCCUCCCCACCCCCUUUUCCUGAAACCCAAACACCCCAUCCCACCCUAUCCCCACUUCCCUGCAACCCUUCUCUUACCUCAUCACCCUCACCCACCACACCCACAUAUUUCCCUUCUCACUACUACUUCCACCCGCCUUUAAACCACCACCCUAAUCCAGCAACGCCGAGAACCGCCACACCUGCUUCGAAUCCGUCACGAACUUGACUGUCGUACCACCACACUUAGGAGCCUAGUCUCUGACCCUCAUCGCUGCCUAGUACACCACUCUAAUCACAAAUAUUUCAGAAGAGCAGACAACUGCGAUGGAAAACUGGGGGUUGUAGGGUCAGAUUCAUGGAAAACUAUGGUGGGGGGUGGGGUGGGGUGGGUGGGGUCUGCGACGCCAGGAUCCACGCCUCUACGAGCAUGUCUGCAUGUGGAUAAGAAGAAAAGAAGAAUUCCAAAACAAAGGGCGAGGUCUGCGACCAGGUGAAUCCAAAACGGCAUAAUUGUCGUUGCGAUUUUGGUGGUGAAGGGAGGGGAUGAAGGUCAGGGAGGUGAAGAGGGAGGAGAGGGAGAAUGUGGCCGGGGGGGGGGGUUGCGGGGGAGAGGGAGGUGGGGGGUGGGGUGGGAGGGGAGGUGAAGAUAGUGGAUGAUAGGAGGUGUUCAGGGGGAAUAUGUUUCUGGGUUUUCAAUUUUUUAUUUCUUUUCUUUCUUUCUUUUUAGGGUUAAUAUUAUAAUAUUUUUAAUUUAUAAAAAAAAUAUUUUUUGCCACAUGGCAGCCACAUUAGCACAAAAUGUGGCAACCACGUCAGCAUUUAACAGACGAAUAGAUGAAAAAUCUAACAGAUGUAUUAUUUUGAAAUAAAAUAGUACGUGAGGUAUGAAAGUGAAAUGUUUUAAAGAUGUUGUAUGAGGUUGUAAUAAACCUCAAACCUGAAGGGUUACUAUGUAAUUUACACUUUUUUUUUCUUCUUUUGGCUUACACAGUAAAGCUUUACAACUAUUUUAAUUUGGGUAAAUUUUUGUUUACUACCCUCAAGUUUCAUGGUUUUCAAUAUUUGGUACAUAAAUUUUUUUUUGUCCAUAGUCAUAUUUAAAGUGUUAAUUUUGGAACAGUCUCAUACAUCCGUUACUCUGGUUAUUAAGUCUCCCGUUAACUGAUGAUAUGACACUCAUAUAGACAAUGACUAGACGACAAGUGUCAUUAAGGGUUUACGUGGAAAUUAAAAAUUAAAAAUAAAUAAAUAAAAGGAUUAAAAAUUUAGAAAAAUUAUAUAAAAAAACAAAAAACAAAGUAAAAAUCAGCCAUAGGGAUUUGGGUUUUCCCUUUCCUCCACCCUCACGACCCCUCUUUCUUCCUCUUCUUAUCGAGAACCACCAAAGCCAAUUUCCCAUUUCUCUUUUCCCAAAUCGGCACCACCAUGGCACCACCGCCUGGGUUCUCUCUCUUUCUUCUCUUUCGACAACAACGCGGAAGCAGAAUCGAACUCCUCCCUCUUUUUGGUCAACGGUAGCAAGAAAAGGGGCAACGUCAUCGUACAUGGAUGCCACUUAUGUUGCCAUAUGCUUAUAUCCAGAAACCAUCCACGCCAGAAACCGUGUGCACAAAUCGACCUUGCAACCCAGAAACCAUCCACGCCCAUUUCUCAUCUAUGUUCAGAUCCGCCCUCAAAUCUUAGAACCCAUCCGUCCCUGUUUUGACUCCACUUCAAAUCCGACGACUUGUCACCGUUGGAAUACCUUCUGUUUCCUCAGCAGCUCUCUAAAAAUUGAAAAAGCCAGGGUUUGAAAUUUUGGGGGGUUCUGGUGCGAUGAAGAAGCUGAACCCAUAGCCGAAGAAGGAAGCAGGUCAACCAAUCUGGCGCCGAUCUUCCUACGAAGCCCCUGAAGGUCAUCCAAUGGGUUCGACUAUUUGGGGAAGAUCGUAAUGGGUACAUGGGGCAGAGGGGGUGGAAGAUGGUUUUGAGGGCUUGGAAGAAUUGGUAGAAUCAGUCAGUGAAGAAGUAGGUUCCUGGAUGUGGGAAUGAAUUUAGGUGUUUUUUUCCUUUCAUUUUUUCAAUUUUUUUUUUUAAUUUUUACCUUGUUUUUUUUUUUAAUUUUUAAUUUUUCUAAAUUUUUAAUCCUUUUAUUUUUUUUAAUUUUUGUUUUUAAAUUUUAAUUUUCACGUGAAUCUCUUAAUAACACGUGGUGCCUAGUCAUUGUCCACAUGAACACCACGUCAUCAGUUAAUCGAAAAUUUAACAGCCGGACUAACGGAUUUUAUACUACACACUUAAUUACUUCUUUUCAUAUUAAUUAGUUAGCCAUUUUCUAGAAACCACCUUUUGGAGGACUAUUCAAAUCAAAUUGAUUUUGCUUGAGAGUUGAGGCCAUUGUUUGUAUAUGGAAAAGCCAUCAGCCAUGCCUCAUAAAAUGCCUCAUACAGUGGGGAACUUCAUGCCCAUGUUUUAUACAUUAUUGGUCUGUAGUGUUGUUGCAUUACUUAAAUAUUCAUUUUGCAUAACAAGGCUUUGGAAGACCAAAUCAUCAUUUGUUUAUUUAAGUAUGUACAUGUGUGAUUCUACAAUACGACAAGUUUGUCAAUAAAAAUCGGAAGCAGAUCCUCUCGGGACUUAGACCUCCGGAGCCUAGGAUCACAUAAUUCUGGCCCUUAAGACCAUCUCCAACCGAAGGGUCCAGAGGGCCGAAAAUAGCCCUAAAACCGUCUCCAACCGAGGGAUAGGCCAGAGGGCUCGAGAAUCUGGGAGGGCCCCACGUAAUUUCAAAGGGCCAAAGGGCUGGCUGGCUGGCAAUUUUUUUUUUAUAGUUUUGUUAUUCCUGUCGGUUAUAACCGACAGGAAUACAUGCUAUUAUUUAAUAUACUAAAUAAUGGUGUAUUCCUGUCGGUUAUAACCGACAGGAUUGUUUUAAAAAAAAAUCAAAUGAAACGGCUACUAGCCGUUGCAUUUGAUUUGAUUUUUUUUUAUUUACAAAAUUUUUCAUAUAACUUCUAUUUUUUCCUAUAACUUCUAUUUCACAAAAUUUGGUUCAUAUUUUUUUUUAAAUUCCAUUUGUUUCCUAUAACUUCUAUUUCACAAAAUUUGUUUCAUAUUUUUUUUUCCUAUAACUUCUAUUUCACAAAAUUUAUUUCAUAUUGUUUUUUAAAUUCCAUUUUUUUCCUAUAACUUCUAUUUCACAAAAUUUGUUUCAUAUUUUUUUUAAAUUCCAUUUUUUUCCUAUAACUUCUAUUUGACAAAAUUUGUUUCAUAUUUUUUUUAAAUUCUAUUUUUUUCCUAUAACUUCCUAAGCCAUUAUACAACAUUAAAUUAAAUUAAGUAACAUGAAACAACAUUAAACAAUAUGAAACAACAUUAAAUAACAUUAACCAACACAAAAAUUAUACAACAUGAAACUUAAACAACAUUUUAGUUGUAGUUUUUAAAUAAUAAAUUAUGUUUGGCCCUAUGACCCUUUGGCCCUCGGUUGGAGACGAUUUUUUGUGACAGGGCUAAAACGAGUCCUCUGGCCCUUUGGCCCUCGGUUGGAGACGGAGACAAAUAUGGCCAUGUACUGUUCAUUAAAAUAUUAAUAUAUUGGAGAAUCUUGGAGGGCCAGAGGGCUAAAACGAGCCUUCUGGCCAACCCUCGGUUAGAGAUGGCCUAAAGUUUGAUUGUACGGCUAAAUUUUUUAUUGUCUUUUAAAAGCUACAAUAACUUUUGAUCGCAAAAUCAAAUUUAAAGGCCAAAAUUAUUUGAUCCUUAAACUCUGUAGAGGAUCUGCUCCCAUGAAAAUCUACCUUCCCUUUUUUUGGGUAAAGACGACACGAUAGUAUAAAAAAUCUACCUUCCCUUAAUUACUUAAGCUUUUCUUCACAAGUUAUUUAUAUUAAAGGAUAUUAAUAUUGAUAGUUGACAUUCUUUUCAAUGCAUCAUGUUUAAGGAAUGAUAUAUAUAAUAUCUAAGUUUCAGAAUACAUUAAACUUAAUAACUUAAUUCACUUUAUAAGAUACACACACACACAUUAUAGAAUCUAAGCAGAUCUUCAUCUUUUAAUCCUUAUAAUAAUUGGAAUUACUGAUAUAGUGUCAAGAAGAACAUGGUUAAAACCUGUCUAUAUGAGUUUUGCCCUGCGAUAUUUUAUGACAAAUUAAUUGGGAAAUUAUUUGGUGGGGGUGAUUUAUUUUUUUGUUAAAAUAAUGCUUAUACAUGAACACUUUCUAGAUAACCAAAUGUCACACACCACAUGUUUUUAUACAGCCUGUUGAUAUAUAAAUUUCACAUUUCAGAAAUAUUAAUAAAUUUGGCAUAUGGAUUGAGUGGUGGAUUCAAUUUUGUUGCAUCAUGCAUUGCUUGGAUUCUACACCUUUUGUAGAGAAAGCCAACCUAGCUAGGCUAACUAGUCCCUCUUAAUUAACAAGCAUAACAUAUUAGCAUAAUAUGUGUCAUGUUUUCUUCCUGGAUGGAUGAGACAUGCUAGGUAUCAGACUAUCAAUAGUUGAUGUUGGACAUAUUAAGUUACCAACAUGUUAAGUUAUCAGAUUGUCAACAGUUGAUGAACAUGUUAAGUUAUUAGACUGUUAACUUUUGAAUCGAUGAUUUAUAUAACUUUGCAGAUUGUAUGACAAAACAUUUUCUACAGUGUAAUGAUUAACUACAUGCUAACUCAAAUGGUUCAAUGUGCAGAUUGUGACAUGGGGUCAACCUAACAUGGUGCAAGCAGAGCGUCGCCUAUUAGCCAAUGCUUUGCUUGACUUCUCCAACCAACGUUUUGUGCUCCUCUCAGAGUCAUGCAUACCACUCUUUAACUUCAGCAUAGUCUACAACUAUCUCAUGGACUCAAAGCAAACGUUCGUGGACGCCUACGACCUUCCCGGCCCUGUCGGCCGAGACCGGUACAGGCACGAAAUGAGGCCUCGUAUCAUACUUGAUCAGUGGCGAAAAGGCUCACAGUGGUUCCAAGUGGACCGUGAGAUCGCGACCGGAAUCGUUUCGGAUGAAAAGUACUUCCCGUUAUUCACAAGGUAUUGCAUACCCCCAUGCUACGCUGAUGAGCACUACUUGCCCACAUACGUAAGCAUCAAGUUUUGGAAGAAGAAUUCUAACAGGACGUUGACUUGGGUUGACUGGUCGAGGGGUGGGCCCCAUCCGUCUAAGUUUAUGAGAACAGAUGUAACGAUUGACUUCUUGAAGAAGUUGAGACAUGGAAGCAACUGUGAGUACAAUGGGAAGCCAACCAAUAUUUGCUAUUUGUUUGCAAGGAAGUUCAUGCUACACUCUUUAGAUAGGCUGUUGAGGUUUGCUCCAAAGAUCAUGAGAUUCAACUGAUUUUUAGGGUUCAGAGGUUAUCUUUUGUUUUUGUCAUUAGCUUUUGUGGGUAGCAAACCAAAAAAAAAUAAUAAAUAAAGGGCAAGCUCUAGAAAUUGUUUUCUUUACUUGUUGGGCAAGCUCUAGUAAUUUGAGGUGUAUAAGGUUAAUUUUUCAAGAUGAUUGUGAUAUAGCAUGAUACUAGGAGGUGGUGCCCGAGCAUUGCUGCGGGAUAUGAAAGUUCGUAGGUAAUAACAACUAAAAAAUUAUUAAAAAUAAAUUGAGCAUAAUUUGUAUGUUGUUCAGUUUUGACUAACGUUAAGUUAACUUAUACUAAUAAAUGCAUUGAAAAAUAAAGAGUAAGUGAAAUUGGAUACAUACCUGGGUUGAGAAUUUGAAUAACUUCUCGGAAAAGAUAAGUUUUUUUGCAGCUUAAUAUAACAAAGAUGGAAAUUGGUGUCUUAUGCAAUAAAAUAUAUUUAGUGAUAGCAUUAUAUAAUCUUUAACACAAUCUUACGAAAGCAAAAAGCACUUGCAAACACACUCAAUUGCUUGAAACCUUGACAGCUGAAAGCCUACUUCAGCAGCUAAAAUUAUUGGAGGAACCAAGAUGCGGCAGAGAUUUUUUCAAAUUGAAAUUAACCUGCAGAUGAUUGCAAACACAAAAAUAAUUCAUUUUCAAAUAAAGAUAAAACAAACUUAAAAUAUUUCCAGGCUACUUUCAAUAACAGGAGAAUAAAAACAAAGUUUUUAUCAACAUGACUCUCAAAUUUAUGCAGAUUAGCAUAAUCCAAUUUAAGGGCGAAACAGACAGAAUUUACAAAAUAAAAAAGAAACAAACUGAAAGUCUAAUCAUGACAGAUAACAGUGUAAAUGUUACUAAAAUAACUCAUCAUACAGAAUAAGCAAGACUAUUAAACUGCAAUAUUAAUUGAGCAAAUUUAAAUAAAAUUAUAAAUGUUAUCAAAAUCAGAUGGAAUACAAAGCAGUAAAGAUUUAUAUCCGAGGAUAAUAUUUUAGACAUUAAACUAUAAAACUACUUAGCCGCUCCUGAUAAGAAUACAAAAAAAAAAAAAAAAAAAAAAAUUAAGGUCUAAGAAAUACGAUGCUGAAAUCCAUGGAGGCCAGAAUAAUUCAAUUUAAAUUAGAAAGGGAGAGGAUUGAUAAAAGGAAAACGGGAACAAACCAAAAUUUAACCAUGACAUAUAACAAAUAGAUUAACCCAUGCACAAAAAAUCAAUAAAUUUAGUUAACAUCAACCUUAGCUUUUUCCCGACUUCAAUACUCGGUGCAGUUCGCUAGCUCUAUUAUGCUCGGUGCUCUCUUCUGCAUUCAGUGCUAAAUUCAACCUCUUCGUGAUUGAAUUGAAAGCAACCACUAUUAAACUUUAGAGUAAAUUGUAGCAAUGGUCCCUCAACUUUAAUCAAAUUGGAGCAAUAAUCUCUCAACUAAAAAUCCAUUAGCAUUGGUCCCUCAACUUAUCAAAAUGUGUAGCUAUAGUCAUUUUCAUCAAUUUCAUCAAAAUUUUGUCAAAAUAAGUUAUGUUGGAAUGACCAUUUAUACAAUUAGGGUCUCUCAACUCAUCAAAGUGUGUAAUUAUGGUCAUUUUCGUCAACUAUGUCAAAAUUUUUGUCAAAACAAGUUAUGUUGGAAGGACCAUUGCCGCUACAAUUAGGUUAAAGUUAAGGGACCAUUUCUCCAGUUGAAUUAAAGUUGAUGAACCAAUGGUAAUGAAUUUUUAGUUGAGGGACCAUAGCUGCACGUUUUGAUGAGUUGAGAGACCAAUGGUAAUGGAUUUUUUUUUUUGAGAGACCAUUGCUCUAAUUGAGUUAAAGUUAAGGACCAUAGCUACAAUUUACUCUAAACUUUAAAGGCUGCAGACAAAACCCUCAAAAAUCAAUAUUUCCUCCAAAUGAAAAGACAACAAAAUUAUCUAGUUAUACCUAAGAUCUAAACAUAGAAAAAAACCCUCUAAAAAAAAAUUCCUCUCAUUUUUCGCCUAUACAAAUUUAUGAAGCCAUCCCCUUCUUUGGCUUUUUCAGCAAUAUACAAAGCUAUAGUCCCCAAGCUAUCAAAUAAAGCUAGAACGCCCUCUAUCAUAUUGCCAAAGACAUUGUAUCAACUACUAUUCUAGUCAUAUUCAUCCCUCAAUAAUGUCUGGCCUUUUAAUAAAAUAAAAUAAAAACUUAACGCAAGGUAAAACCGAAACAACUCAAUUAAACCCAAAAAUUAACCAUGAUCAUCCAUAUGUGUUCCUUAGGAAUGUUUAGCCCUCCAAUGCUUUUGAGAUACUUUGGUUCUGUUCGUCAUUUAUUUUAUAAGAAAAGAAUGUGUGAUAUCAUUUUAUUCCAAUAGCAUAUACUUAAAGAUUUUGAUUUCUUUUCUUAUGUUAUAUUCCUGGUUUUGGUUAUCCAGCAGAGGUUGAACUAAUGAGUCCAAAGCAGCAGACCACUGACUUAAAAUGACAAACCACAAUUUAUCUCUCUCCCUCUACCUCCCUCACUUGUCAAACCAAACUAAUAACCGAUUCUGAACUUAUCAAAUCUAAUAAGUGCAAAAAAUUAUAAUCAAAACCAAAUAAAAAUCUAAACCCAAGCUCUGAUUUCAAUAUAAUCGACAACAAAAAAGCAAAUUCAAGUCCAAUAUAACCAAAUACCAAACAAAAGUCUAAAUCAGAACUCUAAAAUCUUGAAAUCGCUCACCUCAAAUAUACAUGGCUCUGAAGGCUGCAAACAAAAGCCCCAAAUCCAAAAAACCACAAUUUCCUAAAGCCAAAAACAAAACAAAACAAAAUUAGACACCAUGAUGGGGAAUCCGAACCUACAAACAAAAUCCCCAAAAUCACGAUACCCGAAAUCACAAUAACAAAAGCCCCAAAUUUUAACAAAAGAAAAUUACCCAGAUGCACAACCCGAAGAGCUCACCAAGAAACCCUAGCUCUUCUGCGCAAGAAAUUCCUUCAAAUCAAACUGAAUAAACUGAACAUGGCUAACUGAAUUCAAUAAAAAUAAAAAUACAAUCAAUUUACUGCUAACCAUUUUUUUUCACCAAUGAAAAAAAAAAAUCCAUAUCAGUCAUAUUGUUUCCUCAAUAUAAUACACAGUUUUUGUCCUGAUCUAUUAGUCAUAUUGUCUCCUCCAUUUUUAACCUAUAACAUGUAAUCCUCUGGAUAACCUUUCUAGCUCUCAAGAGAUAAUGGUUAAGCUAAUCUGCGCUGCAAUGAAACUGUGAAAGGAAAUUUAUGUGAACUCAUAUAGACUACAUUUUUUAACUCUCUCUCUCUCUCUCUCUUCCCAAAAAUUAAUCAUAUGAUCAUCCACAUGUGUUUUUGAGAUAUGUUUAACCGUUUAACUAAAACACACAACAACAACAACCAAGCCUUUUCCCAAUAAGUGAGGUCGGCUUUAUGAAUCAUAGAACGCCAUUGCACUCGGUUCUGUGUCACACAAAAAAUAAAAAAUAAAAAAUCCUCACCCACACCAAAAAACCGAAACAUGCAGAGCAAAACCCAAAAAUUAAGGAUGACCAUCCUUUUUUUUUUCUUUUCUUAAGGUUGAGGGAAAGAUGGAUGCACAGACAAUCAAAGAACCCAAACAAAAACAAAAUUAACGCCAAAGAGAUGAAUUAUAUACUUGAGCCAAAAAAGGCACGCAAGCUCAGAGAAUAAAACCCUAAAACUGGAAGAAAAAGGUUUCCUGCAACCAAAAUACAAAAUUAGAGAUAACAAUCAGACUUAGAGCAUGAAAAAACAAAGAAAAUGUUGGGCAAAAAGUUGAAGACCCGAACUUGACAACAAUCAAUUGUAAAAUUUUCUUCCUAACCAAACAGAAAAUAAACAAACGUAUAAACCAACACACCUAGAUGCGAGCGAUUCCUUCGUGGAAAACAGGGGAAAAAAGGGCAAACACCUUGUAAGAGAAUUCGAUUGGAUUCAAAACCAAAAAAACAGAGAGAAACGGAAAGAGAAGAAAAGAAGAGGAAAGUGGAAAGUGAAAGAAAAUGAGAGGGGCAAAAUGGCCAAUUCACCAUACAACCCCGCUAAAACUGAAAAAUCAUGAAGAGAAUGAGGGACAAAACCAGGUGGGCACUGUUAAUGAACGGUACUCGUCCACGGGCUUUUAGAAGAGUAUAAUUUGUGACAUCCUCUUUUUCCUUUUUGUGUAUCGUUAAGCAGAACACCACAUCUCAAAUAGAGAAAGACUUGCGUAUACUCUUUAGAACAUAACGUUUAAGGACAAUAGCACAAUGAUAUGCAGUAAAUUUGUGAUAUAGACAUGUAUAUUAUUGUAUAAAUUUCGUGUCUUACAACAGAAAUUCAAUGCAUUCAUCAUAAAUUUCGUGUCUUACAACAGAUAUUCAAUUCAUUCAUCAUAUUACACUGGCGUCAAGAUGAUGUCAUGUUACCAUUGGACUGGAUUGCGCCUACCCAAAUCAGGCUGGUUGGCUUGCUUUCUUUGGCCAGCCCGCAAGCCUUGUGGCUGAUUUAUAGUCCAGUGGCUCCCACAAGCCUUUUGGCCCAGCCCUCGGUUGGAGACGAAUUUUGUGUCAAAACGGGCUACGUUUUGGCCUAUAUCCCUAUAAAUAAAUGUGAAAAAUAAAUUAAAACAAAAUCAACCCACAUCAAGCCCUAACACAUCUACGCCCACCACUUUCCCGUGGCUUCUUCACGAUGUCGGUGAAUCUUUUGAACGAGGGAUUUUGCAUGGGCUUAUAAGUAAGUUGAGUUACUCCUCAUAUUGUUAAUUGGUUUUAUGGUAGAACCUCAACUUUCUUCAUAGUAUUAGAGUAGGUUGUCUCACGUGUGAAGCCAAAUGCCCACACGUGCUGCACGUCACCCUGUUAUGUUGUCCACGUGUUAGGCUUGAAAAUUCGCCACACGUGAAGGGGCAUGUUGAGCAUGAGUCCCACAUUGAUGAGAUGAAGGACCUUGCAUGAACUUAUAAGUAAGUUGGGCUACUCCUCAUAUUAUCAAAGGAAAACUAAUGAAAAGGGCUUGAAAACUUUGAGUUUUAAUGAUAAGGACAAAAUAAAGGGUAAAGUGAAUAGUACCAGAAUUGACUUUUUAGUGUAAAAAUGUGGUUUUUCGUUAAAGUGAACAGUACCAGGAGCUUUUCGUUAAACUUCCCUAUUAUCAAUUGAUUUUAUAGUGGAACCUUAACUUUCUUCAGAAUGAAAUAGCCCUUCUACUUCAUGAAUUGGCAUUUGGUGGAAUGGAAUGCAGAUAUGAGGCUUACAAAAUUUCCAUGUCGUACAAAACCGAUGACACGAGGAACCACGAUUGCUAGUCUGACGAAGAAGGGGUGGCGAAGGCGUCGAAAAGAAGCCGUUGAGGUAAGAGGGAGCCUUCAUGUUUUAUGAACGUUGUUCGAAGUCAAAGAUUGUGGAAGGCAAUUGUGGCUGCCAUGGAAGGCGGUGCGAUGCAAAAGGUGGUGUCGUUUAAUUUGAAGUUGCCAUGGGGUUUUAUAAAACUUUAAAACACUUCCAUUUUUUAAUCAGAUUUAUAUCCCACUUAAGACUUAAUUUCUUACAUGACUCGAGGAAUCCAUAUUUCAUACAACCCCUUCGUUUACAUACAUUGUCUUCCCCACCUACUAUACAACUUCAUUAACAUUUGGGUAAAUUACACUUUACCACUUUAGGUUUGGGGGUCUAUUGUAACCUCAUACAACAGCUUUAAAACAUUUCACUUUCAUACCUCAAGUACUAUUUUAUUUCAAUAUAAUGCAUCCGUUACAUUUUUCAUCCAUUGAUCCAUUAAGAGCUGACGUGGUUGCCACAUUUGUGUCACAUGACUGCCAAAUUUAUGCCAUGUGGCAAAAAUAAUAAUUUUUUAUUCAUUUAAAAUAUUAUAAUAAUUUACCCAAUUAAAAGAAGAAAAAAAAACUGAAAACCCAGAAACCCUUCUUCCCUCAACCCACUUCCCUCUCCUCUAUUCUCUUCCGGUGCGCUGUCCAGCAACGUCUCUUUCUGUGGCAACCGGUAUGAACAUGAUAGCCAAGACCGCAUUCCGCUGCACGAACGAGUGGUGGUGCUCCAAAUUGGAGAGAAUUGAGGGGAUCAGCGGCUCGAUGAUCUCGAACUCAUUCAAGCGGAAGAGAAACCAGAGGUUGUUGCGGAGGUUCUGGUAGAUGAGGAUCAUCUCCGAUAGGACCUUCCCCUUGGAGUUAGUCUUGUAGAUGAUCUCGAGGUAGAAGAGGAGGAGCUUCUGGAUAGUGUGGUUCUCGGAGAGGAGGACGUAGCGGAUGAUGGUGAUGAAGAGGUGAGGGAUGGUGUCACCGUUGAGGAGGAGCAUGAUGGCCGGGGAUAAAGAGGUGGAGGAUGAUCUCAGCGGAUCUGAAACGAGGAAAGUCGAAUCUGAAUCGGAGAAAUCUGGGGGAGAAUGAGAUUUGGGCAUUUAUUUGGAUGGGAUGGGGUGGGUUUUUGGAUGGGAGGGGAGGUGAAGAGAGUAGAGGAAAUGGAGGUUGGGUGGGGUGGGGGGUUGCGGGGAAGGUAGGCGUGGGGUAGAAUGGGGUGUUUGGGUUGCACGGAAGGGGGAAGGCUCGGGGGAAGAAGGGUUUUUGGGUUUCUAGUUUUUUUUUUAAUUGCAUAAAUUAUUAUAAUAUUUUUAAUGAAUAAAAAAAUUAUUAUUUUUGCCACGUAGCACAAAUGUGGCAGUCACGUCAACUCUUAACAGAUCAAUAGAUGGAAAAUGUAAUGAAUGUAUUAUAUUGAAAUAAAAUAGUACUUAAGGUAUGAAAAUGAAAUGCUUUAAAGAUGUUGUAUGAGGUUGCAACAGACCCCAAACCUGAGGUGGUAAAGUGUAAUUUACCCUUAACAUUUUUAUCCCAAAUCAUGGUUUUUUAAGAAAAAACCCAACUCAUGUUUUGUUGUUCCUCGUUUUUUUAGCAAGUCUUUUAUGUGUACUAAAUCCUUCGAGAAAUUCAAUGUAUCCAGAACACCAAAACGCAAUUUUUAUAUACUUUUUAUGAAUUAAGAUUUAUCCUUGAUUAAUGAUGACGGUCCUUGUUAAUCUUACUUGUAGUUCCCUUUUGAGUUAAUUUAAGGCUCUAUGACCCUGACCUUUCAUGUUAACAAAUAAAAAUAAAAUGAAAAUACUAGUGUGACGAGAUCAAUUUAAGAAUCUUUUAAAGAGGGGGGGGGGGGAGAGAGAGAGAGCAGCCACUUCUCAUUUUUCUAGAGGAAAUUUUAUUUGAACCCAUAUUUUGUAUCUCAACACCCAACUUACUUUUUAUGUCUACAUUAUAUUUGAUUUAUCUAUCAUUAUCUCUUUACACCCAAUGUUAUUUCCGAAACUGUCCUGUUUGGGCCCAAAAUAUGUUUGGGCCGAGUAUAGAAUCAUUCUCGGCCCGGGAGGCCUUACGACAAGGGUACCAUGGAUCGUGGGCCUCUAAACCUAGGACGGCUAGGUCAUGACGCAGGACAAGUCGAGUCCUGGUGCAAUAAGGAGUCUUGGCAGGAUUAAUAACCUGAAAGCGAAUCCGGCUCAAUUAAGGACGAGGUUCACAAUCAUAGAGAAAAUAGGACUGGUCAAGUUGGUGUUUGAUCAGGAGAAGAAGACCUACUCCGAGUAGGGUUUUGACUCGACUUUAAAGGUAUCUAGUGCUAUAAAUAGAGGAGGCUGUGCAACAAAUAAAGCCCCUCCAAUUCAACACAUAACUGCCCUGCGCAAACUUUCUCAACAACUUUGAGAUUUUUAUUUUCUCUUUUCGCUGACACAUCUUCCGUUGGCAUCAACAGCACUGUGAAAGCAACCGGUGAUAUCUUAAGUCGGCAUAGAUAGCUUUGUCAUCGUAGAAUCAGCCGGUCUCGCACUACCUUCCGUUGGCAUCAACAGCACUGUGGCGAGGACGGUUGGUUACCUAUCCAAGUCUCGGUCGAGAAGGAUUCCUGAAUCCUUAUUGAUUGAGGUCGUCUCAUUAGCCUUCUCGGCGAAGUGAGGUGUUACAGUUUAUUGAGCUCGGCGCAUUGCACGCCGAGUUAUUUUAUGAUUGGAUACUCCCAAGUGGGAUUUAGAGUUCGGCAUUCAGACGACCGAACCACUUUUACUAUUAAGACUUAUAUUCGCUUUGAGUAUUUGUGCCCUUACACUUUGGUGUCGAUUCGGCGAUAAUUUACUCUAACCAAUAACAUCACCGUGACUGAAUCUGACGACGGAGAUUCAUGAACUUCAUAAGAAUAGUAACCUUGUCUUCAGGUUCGAGAGCCCAAGAGGCCGAGACGUGUUCCUUUCUCGGCCGCAAUCGCAAGACGCAGAAGUUAGCCGCGCACCCAACGCAACAUCAACAAAUUUACUCCUCGGUCGAGCUCGGCCGACGAGUUGGCACGCCCCGCAUUCACCUAAUGAUGUAGUUAGCUUAUAGAUUACUCGGCCUGCGCGCCACGUAGGCUUGGUAGUUUUUAGGGUCAACAUUUUAGCACGCCCAGUGGGACCUAGUGCUAAACUAUGAAGUUCAUGCGAAUUGAAACACGAUCGGUAAAAAAGAAAACAGCUAUGGGAAAAUCAACAGCCGAUGUACCAAUUCAGAAUAUAGGACACAGUGUGCCACAGGCGCAGAAUCCCAUCAGCACCGUAACACCUGAGUCCACGAGCGCGACUCGCCGAGAAAGGGAAGUUAAUCUCGGCGGUCAGUUUCGCAGUCUUGAAAUCCCCGACAGGAACACCUGCAUUCUCAAUGAAGGGAUAAUAGAAGAUUGUGACGAGGAUGGUGGCGAAGGAUCUGAUCCACUAACAAGGUCGUUUCUUCGAAAACGGCUUGACGAGCAAUCUCGGACGGUUGAACAUACGUUUAGUUGAGGAAUCGAUAAACUUCAUGACAUGAUACGCAAUACCAGUGAGGCACAAACCAGAUUACUCGAAAUACUGGUUAGUAAGGUCAGCGACGGUAGGACUUUCGAUCUUGCCCAGCAUUUGCCGCCGAGAAAUAAUUUAUUACCAAGUGCACCGGCCGAGUCAAUCCCUGCUCGGCUCAAACCAAUUAACUUGGAGAGAGGAGGAGGAUCGAACAGUAGGUUAGACGGAUCCGACCAGAGAGUGGAAGCAACACCCGUCGAUAUGACUAAGGUCCAACGGAUGAUCGAUUCGGCCAUAAAGAAAGGGCCGAAGUUCCCUAAAUUUAUACAUCUGUAUCCGGCUUAUGUGGAACAGUUCGAAUACCCUAGAGGUUUCAAAAUCCUGGAUUUUAGCCUUUUCGCCGGAGAAUCAUCCUUAUCCUCAUUGGAACAUGUGGCUCGUUUCACCGCGUAAUGCGGAAAUGUCAAUAGUGACUUUCACAAGCUGCGACUGUUCAAUUUUUCGCUGACGGGUUCAGCAUUUGCUUGGUAUAUCAACCUUCCACCGAAUUCUGUCCAGAGCUGGGAGGAGUUGGUCGAGAAAUUUCAUGAGCAGUUUUAUCGGCCAGGAAUGGAAGUGUCAGUAUCCUCGUUAGCAAGGAUGGCUCAAGCAUCCGACGAAUCACCAAUGGAUUAUCUUACCAGAUUUAAAUCAGCCAAGAAUUGGUGCUGAGUACCUCUCCCUGAAGUCGAGUUCGUAAGGCUUGCUCUAAAUGGUCUUGACGUGGAAUACAAAAAGAAAUUCUUGGGGGAAAAUUUUUGGGAUAUGUAUGAACUAGCCCAGCAUGUUGAGCAGUAUGAUUAUUUGCUCCGUGAAGAGAAGAUCUCGAAAGCUCCAUCCAGAGGGACGAUUUACAAAAAUCCUACUGUCAGUUAUGCAUCGGCCGAAGAUGAAUGUGUUAGCGUGGAUGUAGCCGAGAUAAUCAUAGAUAAGCCAUACGUUUGCAAGGCACUGACUCAAAUUGACUCUAAGGAAGCCAAAACCCGCUCGGCCCAUGAAGAAACAAUGAAAAUGCCAAAGGUCUAUGCUUUUGAUAUUACAAAGGCCGAUGCGAUUUUUGAUCAAUUAUUAUCAGCAAAGAUCAUUAAACUUCGGCCUAGACAUAACAUUCCCAGGCCGAAGAGCUUAAAGGAAAGAUAUAUUGCAAAUACCAUAAUUCAAGCAAAAAUACGACAAAUAAUUGCGUCGUGUUUCGAGACAACGUCCAAAGCUGGAUUGAUAAUGGCAAACUGAGAUUUCCAGAGAAGAAGAUAAACGUUGAUACUGACCCAUUCCCCAUGGCAACAGUAAAUAUGGUCGAUGCGUGCCUAUCUAAGGACAAAGGGAAAGGGAAGGGCGAAGCUGUUGCGACGCAACGCUUUCGGAAUCAGAACUCUCGGCCACGUUUCAUGGUUGAUUUUCGUUCAAACGAACCACCUACAGCUUUAACGGGACCCGCUAUUGUCAAGCCUAUGAUGGAUUACAGCACUGAUGAAGACAGUGGGACGGCGGUUUUAUGCAGUAAAUGUAGAGCAAAGGUCAACAUUGAGCUAGAGGAAAAGUCCUCUCCGCCUAUAAUGGAACAACCUACAGCCGCAACCCAGCAAAAGGUGACCAACGUAGGCCAACAUCAAGGGGUUUUUUGAUAAGCUCGGUCUUAAAGUGAGGAUGGAAGAGACACCUUCAGUCAGACGGUGCCUCGAUUUUGAUGCUUCAUUUUAUGACGAGGACUACUAUAUACGUAACUCUAGCAGCUCGGAAUCAUCGUGGAGCCAAAAAACUUUCAAACCUCCCGAACCUAGAGACCAACGUUGGUAUACAUAUCACUCUUCGAAAGGCGUCUACACCGCACUGUCCAAAUCCCAGAAACGCCGGCACCAAAGAAUAGAUUGCAUGGCCUACCGACGGGCAGCUCAAGAAACUUCGGUCCUUAAAUGGCGGCCGAAGGACACAAUUGCCACCGACGAUGAACGACCACCUCCAACGAUUAUGACAGAGUUGGUUCAAGGGAAACGGCUGGUCAAUCAAGAUAUCGAAACCACGUUCGAAGAGGCUGAUAAACGGAUUAAACUUCUUCUUCGGCCUGGGGAGAUGAAGGCACGUCUCGAGCAUUUCAGGCAAGAAGCUGAAAGCAAAUUGACCCCGCCAGCCACACAAGAGCCUUUGAUCAAAAUUCAACGGAAUUUACAUCCACCAUUCCUCGGGGAGGCCUUGGAAUAUAUGCGAGAGUUUCAUAAGAAACAUUCGGCCAACGAUCUGUAUGGUUUGCCGAAAGCAUGUCAAGACACAAUCGAUCUUGUCUUAACUUGCCCAGAUGCCGAACGAAUCAUUCAGAAGACCUUAGACCCAAGAUUGAAAGCUAGGUUCCAGCACAUACGGGAAGCUCGUGUCCUUGGUUUUGAAGUCGACCCAUACACUGAUAUCGAUGCAGCCGAACUUCCUUUCUCAAUGGAGGACCUCCAGUAUUUACGAUAUCACUUCGAAGUAUUUUCGGCUGUUUCUCUCUUCGGCCUUACGACUGAUGAAAUAGCACGUGUCGCACGGCUGGAUGCCUAUCUCGACACCAGGGAUGCCCGUAUACAGUACCAGGAGCAAGUUCGGAUCCUGGCACCAAGCACGCUUUCGAUCUCAGACUCACCUGAGGCACUUAUGCAGAACCAACAAGUUGCCGAAGAGACACCGCGAGACCAAACCAUUGAAGAAUGAGCAGAAGAGUCUCAUCGUCCAAUCCGGACGAAAGCGGAUGCUGCAGUUACCGACCAGGAAAAAGACGAGGCUAGCGAAGAGGAUCAUAACCCGAUAGGCCCAUCAGUCCUGGAUAACAUGGAAAUCAGUAUGGUCCAUGUUUUGCCCACUGAUUUUCAGUCAAGCACAGCACAACCAAAUUUCCUCGAUGGUGAUGUAGUUGCCGAGGAAGCCGGUCAUAUUGAUUUUGUAACUAUUGCUGAAGCCGAGUCAACAACAAAAGAUGAUAGUCUAAAAGCAGCUUUGGCCGAAUUGUUUCCUCGUUCAUCAUCGGCCAACCUUCAUCAUUUGAAGCCAUUGUAUGUAACGGCCCAUAUCGAAGGGUAUUCAGUCUCCAAAGUUUUUGUCGACUGUAGAGCCAUCGUCAAUAUCAUGCAUGUAAACAUCAUGAAGUUAUUCCGUAUAGGAUCACGAUCGGAGAUUGGGACAACCACGUAUGCACUAACCUACGAACACGACGCAGUGUUACCAGUCGAGCUAAGCAUAAAUUCGUUACGAAUGAUUGCACAAAGUAGUUUGUUCAGCACCGAAUAUAAUCAGUCCAUGAGACAGGAGUUGGAAGACUUGGAAGAAGCGCGACUCGAUGCUUAUAACUUGUUGGUGGCAUAAAAACAGAUUGCCGAGCGAGCAUACAAUCAAAAGGUCCGGCAGAAAACAUUUGGCGAAGGUGAAUUAGUUUGGCAAACGGUGUUGCCCACAGGAAUUAAAGACCCUAGGUUCGGCAAAUGGUCGCCAACUUGGGAAGGUCCUUUAGUCAUACAUAAGGUUCUCGGCAAAGGCGCGUAUCAUCUUAGAGACCGGACUGGUUUAGUUCACAAAUUGCCAAUCAAUGGGAAGUUUUUAAAGAAGUAUUAUCAGUCGCAUGGGAGAUGCAGGAAUAUAAAUUCAUUUCAUUAAGGCUUCAAUUCCAGCCACCGCACCUCGCCCAUUAUGACCACCGCACCUCGCCCAUUAUGACCUCGGCUUGUCGGUUCUUCUUGUCCAUUUUCAACUGCUCGAUUCGUUUUGUGCUCACCGCAUACGCGGUUAAACAAGCCUUGCCGCCCAACUCGAAGUCCUUAGCAAGCUCGGAAGUAAUGACCGACCUUCAUUUCGCCAAUUCAGCCAUUUGACGGUCGAGGUCGGCCAAGGCCUAUCCUCUUGCCUUUAAAGCAUCAAUCCUUGGACGGAGAGUAUCUUGGACGGUUGUGGCAAUUUGCAGGUCUUGUUCGACUUUCAGAACGCUCCCGAAUAUACUAAAGGUCUCCCAAACCCGCUCCAAGGCAGACGACGCCUGAAUGAUAGCCUCGCUGCUCAGUUGACCUUCGGCUUCAAGGUCGUUUAGACAUGCACCGUGCAAAUCAAGACCUUUGCAUUCAAGUGCUUGCGACGCCGAAAGGGACAAGACCUCUCGCAACCGAGCUAGAGCAGUUGAGUCAGCAGCUUCAGCUGUGGUGGCCGAAGGACCAGCCCAUCCAGUGGUGCUGGAUAAGAGGGCUUUGAAUUCGACUUCCCAUGAAGCCUGUACACAAAAUCAGGUUAAGCUCAAGGAAAUCAUAAAAAGAUAACAAGAAGGUUUUGUUUUUUAAACCUGCCGAAAGGAGACUUCGGCCAUGUCUUCAGGAUUGUUGCUCGAACCUAAAGAACUUAAUGGUCGAGCCCAGUAUCUUAGAUUGCUUCUCAGCUCACGCGGCCGAUGGAGGUUAUCUACGUUCGAUGGCCACUGAGGCGGCCAAGAGACAUAGAUAACACCCUUCGGUGCAUAGAUUUUUCGAUGAAAAGAGUGUACAGGCACCUGACAGUUAGUAUUUUCUUGAUUUAGAGUUCUAUAAUAGAAAAUAAUCAAGGAAAGGCGGUAGAAGGUACUUACGAAGGUCGAAGUGGCUUCCUGCGAAAGAAUAUCGAGGUCCUGGUCCUGAGGAUGAACGGGCGUUUCCACCGUCGCCUCUGGUUUUCCAGCAGGUCGUUUGCCACGGUCGGCCGUAGAAGGGCCGACUGGGACAGCCGUUUCGGACGCAGAAUUGAGGUCCUGGUCCUGUGGAGGAGCGGGCGUUCCUAUCGCCGUUGCUGGCUCUCAGGCAGGUCGUUUGCCACGGUCGGCCGUAAAAGAGCCGACUUGGGCAGCCACCUCGGACACAGGAGAAGGUUGAUGACGGGAUCGAGGGCGACUCAUCGUGGAACUUCGUCGCUCCCCUCACUCUCUUCCAGAACAAAGAUCAAGGGUUUUGGAUUUGCAGGGGAAUUUCUCUCGGUCGUAGGGACUGCCUUUUCCAGGACAUGUGCAGCUUCGACCGGUGGAACAACUGGUUUACCAACCUCAGAAACAGGCCGUGCUUGGACCAUUUCUUCGGUCGAAAUUGACCGUUUCCCGACCAGGGCUUGGGCGAUGGGGGGAGAAGAGGAAACGCUGGGAGUCGUCGCUUUCGUAGUUUGACUAGAGAUGACGUGAAUCUCCCGUUCUCCUUUCUUCGCCAACUUUUUGAUCCGUUUGGCGGGCAGAGAAGGUUCGAUGGUCGGCUCUACUUUUUGACGAGGCCGUUUGCUCAACAAGGCCUGCGCAGUAGUCUUUGCUUUCUUGAAAACGACCGAUUUUCUCUCAACCGCAGCGACAGCAACCACCACCAUUUUUUUCAACGAGUGGCUACCUGAGAAAGUAAAAGCAAAUCAGCAAAGCAGAUCAGUAGUUUAAGGUUGAAGGAAAAAGAUAGAAGUAAACCGUUACCUUGGGCUUAGGGGGCAGAAGCCUUCCUAGGUCGACCACUGAAGAGGUUAUUCAAAACAGUUUCGAUCGGAACACCAAAAAACUGCUCGGUAUACUGUUCCCACCAGUCACCAAAGGUGUCAGUGUAAAGGGUCUCUGGAGUGGCCGGUCGAAUGUGGAAUUUCUGGCACCGCUCCUGGAACUCCCUUUUGGCGUCGGUGCAUUCCUUCUCUUAAGAGCCAGGUUCGCGUCCGCGGCUUAAGACCGACCUUGAGGAAAGAAGAGGGACUGGACAACCUUGGAGAUAGCCAAACUGCCGAGAGAGGAAGUUGGGAUGAUACACUUCCCAACUCGCUCGGUGACCUUCACAGCCGAGAGGCAGGUCGCGGGCAAGAAUGAAUGACCCUCAAGAUUGACGAAGGUUAGCAUCUUCGUCCGCACCCCAUGCUGUGGUAGGAAGUCUGAUCGACGAAGGGUAUUCUCGACGACGACAGAUCAAGAACUCGUCAUUAGAAAGGUCGUCGAGAGUGAAGAAGUAUCUGAAUACUUCUUCGACUUGGUGAGGGGGGAUUGGCCGAAAAGCCAAUUGAAGACCGAGCGCUUCCCUGGGUGAGAAAUCAGCAAUCGUUGGCCGAAGAGGAGUAAAGUAGACCUACAGCCAGAGUUGGAAGACCUAGAGAGGCCCAUUCUGCUGAGGAUCGACCUUAUCUUGAGUCGCUUCGGCCAAGCAGCGCAGAAGAUGAGCAAGAAUGGCCGGGCUAAGUGCCAAAGUGUGACCGCUAGCUAGGGCCUCAGCCACUGGCAUGUUCUCGACCAGACACUUAUUAGAUUUGGUAAAUUAAACAAAGAGGUCGUUGUAGUACCAAUAAAGGAGGAAAGGGUUCUUGUGUGAAGUUGUGAACCUCUUCCUUCGAGGGUGUUUGGCCUUCACCGCUUUCCCUCGAGCGUCUCAAAAUGGAGAAAAAGGUUUGUCGAAGAGCACCUUCAAAUUAAGUUUUGACGGGUACCUUCAAGGAGGCAGAGUCGACUGGCCUUCGGGACCUUCCAAAGGUUCGGGGUCCAAGGACCCAAGUAUGGGGGGUCCAAUGGGGCCAAGAAGGGAUGGACGUAGGGUCGAGUUGGUGGGGACCAAUGGGUAAAGCCGAGAGGGAGGACCAUGGGUUAGUGGCCGAACAAUAAAAGCAUAAAGCCGUUAGGAGAAGCUCCUUGUCCAGAAUGACCUUCAUAGACGAAAGGCGAAUGGCGUCGUAGAUGCCUAGGGCUUUCCAUUGCUCGCCGAAGAUUUUUUCCAUUCGAACAACCCAGGUUGCCCAGGUUGUAAUGGUUGAAGGCCAAGAGCCUUAGGGCCUUGCUACAUCCCACUUCGACCAGUCGAACCCUUGUAGCAAGGGUGAUAGGCAAUGCUCCUGGAGAAGUCCAGUAAUGGUCGAUGGCACUGCCGCCUUGAGAGGACCCAAGAUUUGAUGAGGGGUGCUCAUGUCACUCUCAAAUCGGAUGGUCUUGAUUGAACUCCGAUCGAUGAUCUUCUGGCAUUGGUCACACUCCUUGGAAAGGUUGGAGAUAAAGGAGGCCAUGAUGAAUGGUUUGAAGGAAUGACAAGAAAAGAACUUUAUGGGUUAAAGGUUGAAGAUGAAAAUCUGGAAGGAAGAUAUGCACUGGAGAGCAAUGGCAAGAAGUUCAGAAAAUUUGAAAGCGUAGAAGUACAAACAAGAGGAUUUCGGUAUUUAUAGGACGAUGGAGGGAAGGGCAAUCGUUCGAAAUUCAAAAUGAAGGGUAAAAUUGACCGAGAAAUUCGUUAAUCAUUAUGAACAUUCAGAAGAUCCAGUUGAGAAGACCGAGGGUUUCGUGUUUCAGGAAACGCACGAUUGCGUGUGGCGGCGAGAUUUAUGGUGAAAGACAGUUUGGCGUCUACACGAUGCUGAAUGGUUCGCAGAUCGAGGCAGCAUGGUGGUGUUCAGCAAUAAGGCCAUGAUGAUAUGACGGUUCAGGGAACCGCACGCUUCAAACGUCAUUAUUAGGGACUAGCCCUAUAAAAGAAUGCCACGUAGUGUGGUGGUUAGCAGGAUCAAGAUCGUGCAAUCGUGCUCAAUAAAUGCGCCUCGGGAAUAAGAGCAUUUGAGUUUUGAGUUUUAAUUUCGCUUCUUCAAGGUCGGAGCUCGACCAGAGGGUUCAGGCCGAUGACCUCAGAAGCAAGGGGGCAAUGUUUGGGCCGAGUAUAGAAUCAUUCUCGACCCGGGGAGGCCUUACGACAAGGGUACCAUGGAUCGUGGGCCUCCAAACCUAGGACGACUAGGUCAUGACGCAAGACAAGUCAAGUCCUGGUGCAAUAAGGAGUCUCGGCAGGAUUAAUAACCCGAAAGCGAAUCCGGCUCAAUUAAGGACUAGGUUCACAAUCAUAGAGAAAAUAGGAAUGGUCGAGUUGGUGUUUGAUUAGGAGAAGAAGACCUACUCCGAGUAGGGUUUUGACUCGACUUUAAAGGUAUCCAGUACUAUAAAUAGAGGAGGCUGUGCAACAAAUAAAGCCCCUCCAAUUCAACACACAACAGCCCUGCACAAACUUUCUCAACAACUUUGAGAUUUUUAAUUUCUCUUUUCGCUGACACAUCUUCCGUUGGCAUCAACAGCACUGUGAAAGCAACCGGUGAUAUCUUAAGUCGGCAUAGAUAGCUCUGUCAUCGUAGAAUCAGCCGGUCUCGCAGUACCUUCCGUUGGCAUCAAUAGCACUACGGUGAGGACGGUGGUUACCUAUCCAAGUCUCGGUCGAGAAGGAUUCCCGAAUCCUUAUUGAUUGAGGUCGUCUCAUUAGCCUUCUCGAUGAAGUGAGGUGUUACAGUUUAUUGAGCUCGGCGCAUUUCACGCCGAGUUAUUUUAUGAUUGGAUACUCCCAAGUGGGAUUUAGAGUUCGGCAUUCAGACAGCCGAACCACUUUUACUAUUAAGACUUAUAUUCGCUAUUAAGACUUAUAUUCGCUUUGAGUAUUUGUGCCCUUACAUUUUGGUGUCGAUCCGGCGAGAAUUUACUCUGACGAAUAACAUCACCGUGACCGAAUCCGACGACGGAGAUUCGUGAACUUCGUAAGAAUAGUAACCUUAUCUUCAUGUUCGAGAGCCCAAGAGGUUGAGAUGUGUUCCUUUCUCGGUCGCAAUCGCAAGACGCAGAAGUCAGCCGCGCACCCAACGCAACAUCAACAAAUUUACUCCUCGGCCGAGCUCGACCGAUGAGUUGGCAUGCCCCGCAUUCACCGAAGGACGUAGUUAGCUUAUAGAUUACUCGACCUGCGCGCCACGUAGGCUGGUAGAUUUUAGGGGCAACACGUCCUUACCUAUCAAAACUUGACACACCCCAUCCCGAAGGAGGGCAUGAUGGCCAUCACGUGAGUGUGACGUAACCAUUUACACAGUUCGGAAGCUUUAAAGAUACAAUUACUAAGAUGAAACACCCGAGGGUGAGUCCUACUUUUAUGAAUUCUGUCAGAACACCGUUGGAUUCCUCGUGGCCACCAAAGCUCUGCUAACUUGAACCUGGAGGGGCACAAAACAAAGUUGAGUCGGUCAGUAAAACAAAGUUUUCCGAAAACAUUUCAUUUAAAACAUUUCUAACCCCUCGCUGUAAAACCUGUAUACUUUCCCAGAAAAUAACAUAAUAGCAUAUACCUUCAAAUAUCUCAAAUCAUCAAUCUUUAUCAAAACCAGAAAGUAUGUCAUGCUAUAAUGUCAAAAACAGAAUAGGGAUGCAUCAAUAUAACAGGUGAAAUAAGGAAUCAACCGGAGACCAUGCAGUUGGUCCUAUACGGUUAUUCUAUAGCUCAAUAUCCAAUCCAACCGGGGUCAUCACGGUGACUUGUACGACGCUACUCUGCACAUAAGUCGGAACUACCUGAAGUAGUAUGUACGACAAGAAUGGUGUAAUAAUACGCUCUAGUGCUUCUCUCAUCAAUCAUCUGUGCACAUAAUCUAAGAUCACCUACCAGUUGGAACCAUCUUUAGUGGUCUGUACGACUAGCAUGUCGGAACCCUCUCAUGGUCUGUACGACAUGCACCUACUUAGAUCCAAGGUGAGCGUACGGUGCGGUGAAUAAUAUAAGCACUAACACCAGGGGUGCAAGUUAUGAGCUCUCAACACAAUUCACAUCAUCAAUGAUUCACAUGAAUAACAUAAAACUCACCUGAUACUCACCUGUGCGUCCACAGCACCAAUUCACAUAUAUAUAUAUAUACAUCAAUUAUCAAUUCAUAUAUCUCAUAAUAUGCAUGCAUGGCAUUUUAAAACAUACUUUCAUUUAAACUCAAUUUCUGGAAAAUCGAUAGUAUAUAGGUGAUAAGAUUAAAAGCACACCACAAAGUAGCACACAAAUGUCCUAUUGAUUUUCCUUAUUAACAUUAAGAUUUGUCAAUUGUAGCAUAUGAAAAUAAGGGUCUUUCCCGCAAAAGAUUGUUUUAUCUAACUACCUAAAAUGUCACAAAAACUGGGUUGCUGUCCCUACUGACCAGCCACCGAAAAAGAAUUAUUAGACCGACUUAUACUUAUCUAAAGUCUACGAAAUUUUAUAUGCUGAUACCAGACACACAAAGCUACACUCACACAAAUAUUUGGGAUUUUUGGAGUUGAAUUGCUAUUUAAAUUAAAUCGAACAAAAACAGGAUAGAAACAAAUUUUAAGUAGUUCACAAAUUAAGAAAAACGAGUUAGGGGUAUUGCUAUCCACCACCAAAUAAUCAUGCAAACAUGUUAUGUUUCAUUCAAAUUUCUUUUAUUUCCGGAUGAAGAUGCUCAAGUUGGCUCAAUAUUAGAACUCAACCUAUUACUCUUUCUUACGUAGUAUGUUAAGAGAAUGGCGUUUUCAACUUAACUUAGUCCCUAGCAUGCAAUCUAGAAUGGCGUGUUCAUAGAUUUAACAAGAAGAAAUCAUUAAGAAUGAAAAGAGUUUGAGUCAUCACAAGGCAUCGUAAGUACUAGCGUUGUCUUACUUAUCCUAGAAAUUGGUUCAUAUGUUAAUCGCAAUUAACAAGUACUACUCUAGAACAUAUGUAGGUCCUCAUUCGACAAGGGCAGGCACACACAUAUUCAUAGCAUUAGAAUCCUAGUUACGUAUGCAUCCAUAGAAAACAAAUAAAGAAUUCAUCAAUGAGACAAGUAGUGAACCAAGUUUCAUCCAUUCAUAAAAGUAAUUCAACGAAAUGUCAUAACAAAAUUGCAAUCAUAUUUGGGGCUUCAAAACAGCCCCUAACUUCUAAAAAAUUAGUUACACAUUUUUCUCAAAAUAAACCAAAAGAAAGACAUGAGUUUGAGAAGAUAAAACCGAGAGAAGAGAAUGCCAAGAUUUCUUCCUUCCUUUCCUUCCUUUCUCAACGCAGCAGCCUUUCCUUUUUUCCUUCCUUUCCUUCCUUUUUUUUUCUAUCUUUUUUUCCUCUAAAGAACUCCCUUUUGCUGCUGCAACCUGCAGCCUUUAUGCCCAUGCUUGCUGCCCCAUUUCUGCUCCAUAACUCACCCCACUAACAGCCAUUUAGUGAUGACAAUAAGUGAGAGGAAAUGGUAAAACAAUUGUAACUUUUUGGGCAACCUUUAUGCCAAUUACUCCCACUUAAUCCUCAUCUUUAAUUCCAUUUCAUCUGAUAUUUGAAGAGGUGUCAGCUGGCUUGUUCUUGGCUGCAUUAGUUUUGGCUGCUAGUUUUAUUGGAUUUAUUGCCUUCAAUGCAGUUACAAACUGCUCAGCGUCUUGGAAACCUUUCAGUGUUAAAACGGCCAUAACUUCUUCUAGAAAAAUGAUAUUAACAAUCCACGAAAUGCUCCAAAAAAUAGACAUCUGUAGCUUUCCAAGCAUAUAAGACUAAUUCUCUAAUUCAUUCUGAGCUGCUCGGAACUUGCUUCCAAAGUCAGCUGAUUUGCACAGGCAGUUUUGACGAAUUUGUUACUUAAUAUCCAACUUGUGCUAUUUUUCUUUUCUUUGCUUGACAAAUCCUAGAAAACACAAAAACAAAGUAAAUAGCUCAAAAAUAUAAGGAACUAACUAAGAAAAGACAAGUGAAUUUGACGUAAAGUAUAUAUAAAUAUGAGUUUAUCAAAUACCCCCACACUUAGUUUUUGCUAGUCCUCGAGCAAAACGAAGAAAAUAUGAAAAAGUAGCAACAUGAAAAACAAUAGCUUCCCCCUAUGUGACCCUCAUAGAAUUCCAUUCAAGAAAACAAAUCAUCAAGAAUCUUAGCUAGCACCAAACAAGCUAAUCCAAAUUCAUCUUCCUUAUUCAAAUGUUAGCAGUAACCUUUUAAUCAUCCAUGAAGUGUAGUGUGUGUAAUAGUCAUGCUAAUGCAAUUUCAAGUUUUUUUUUAAAAACACCACAUGCUAACUAGUGAUCUUCUCACGGGACAUACACUCAAUCACACAUAUGUUUAGUUUAACGUGUUUCGCUCAAAGAAUCAAAUGUGAAAGAUCUACCAUAAGCUUGCAUAAAGAUCUCAUCUCCACAAUCAUAAUUGCAAAAAUUAAAUCAAGAGGACCUUUAUUGGAUGUAAUGAGGCUUAGGGAGAGGGAUAUAGAAAUAAAGGGAUAGGUAAACACAAGUUCCAAGCUACAUUGCAAGCAAUUCUCUUGUUGAGAUUUAUAAGAACUCAAGCUCUCCAACCACUCUGCUAAUACCUCCAACCACACCCCUAAACUGAAACUUAAAAAAAACUUUUUAUUUGCUUUGUAUACUUUUUUUUUUUUGAACCAAUUUUGCACAUAACUAAAUACAAACAUGAAAUACCCCCACACUUAUUCUUUUUCCAAACUCCUUCAAAGUACUUCACAAAUAUUUCUCAUAAGACAAUCUCACAUUGCUCACUAGCUAGCUUGGAAAGGGUAAGGAAAAAUGUUUAAGGUAUAAGGAUAGACAUAUCUGGUGAUAAGAAAUAAAAGGCUCAACAUAUACGGCUCAAAUUGGCAAUUUAAUGAUAUUAAUUUUCUUUUGGAAACAUGCUUAUUUGGGCCAUGGUGAUAAACCUAAUGCCUCUAUCAUUUUCAAGUUCAUGCAAUCAAAUGACAAACAUUUCGAAAGAUCGUUAUGCAAGUUCUAGAGAUGUAAGUCACAUAAGUUCAUCACACAUGAAAGAAUAUGAGUGUAUGAAAAAUGCACACACUUUCAAUAGGCUCAAAAACUCACAUAGGUUGUAUAUGGUCACUAUAUUCACAUGCGAAGUUUUAAGUCAUACUUUAGUUUCACAUCAACAAGGCUAUGUGCAUUUGGUUUUUCAAAGAUGAUUAAACAUGUACAAGGCUAACAAGAGAAUAAGGAAUUUCACACAACACAUGCUUACUAAAUUCUUGAUCCUUGUAGUUCAAAUUCAAUCCAAUUAUAUCAUUGGGUCGGGAAACUAACAAAAAUCUAAUUCAAAGUAAUAAAGAAAAUAAGACAAUAUUUUUUGGAUUUUCACAUUUUUUUUAUUUUUUUAUUUUUGGUUUAUUUUUUAGAGUAAACAAAACCAAUUAAGAAAACAAAAAGCAACAACAAGGAAACAAAUCAAACCAAUUCUUAGUCAAAGGGAUGAACAUUUUCAAUUUGGUCAUUUUUUAGAUCCUUACCCCCAAACCUAAACUGGACAUUGUCCUCAAUGUCAGAAAAUGAAAAUGAAAAUAAAAUAAAUAAUAAUAAACAAAAUAAAGCAUUUAGACUGAAAACUUCCCCAAUUUGCAGUGAAAGCAAGCGAUGACCCCCAAACUUCAAUUCUACAAUCAACUCCAAGGGUAGACAUAACCAAAUAUUCCUACAAAGAAACGAAAUAAUUCAGCUUAGCACACAAGAAAAUUCAGAAAAAGCAAACUAAAAAUUGAAAAUGACAUAAAAAGACAAUGAAUAGAAAUAUUGGGUUGCCUCCCAAUAAGCGCUUGCUUUUACGUCCGCAGCCGGACGGUACCAAGAGUAAUCAUCCAAAGGGAGCUGGUUCUUGGAGGGGUACAACCUCCACAUCAUGCUCCGUAAAAGACUCGUAAUAUGGCUUGAGUCUAUGCCCAUUCACUUUGAACACAUUUCCGGUCUUCGCACUUUGGAUUUCCACUGCACCAUAAGGAAAAAUAUUAUUUAUAACAAACGGACCAACCCAUCGAGAACGAAGCUUACCUGGAAAUAACCGAAGGCGAGAAUUAAAUAGAAGAACUUUCUGUCCAAUGACAAAGCUCUUCCUUGAUAUCAUCUUGUCAUGAAAUGCCUUUGAUUUCUCCUUGUAUAUUCGAUUAGACUCGUAUGCAUCAUUCCGGAUUUCGUCUAACUUAUUCAAUUGAAGCUUUCUAUGCUGUCCGGCAACACUCAUGUCCAUGUUGUAGACUUUGAUCGCCCAAUAAGCUUUGUGUUCUAACUCUACUGGAAGAUGGCAUGGUUUCCCAUAAACUAACCGAAAUGGGGACAUUCCAAUAUGAGUCUUAUAAGCAGUCCUAUAAGCCCACAAUGCAUCGUUUAAGCGCAUGCUCCAAUCCUUCCUACUGGGACUCACAGUUUUCUCCAAAAUUUGCUUCACCUCACGAUUUGAUACUUCUGCUUGACGACUAGUUUGCGGAUGAUAAGGUGUAGACACCUUAUGUGUGACAUUGUACUUCCUAAGCAACGCUUCAAAUGUUCGAUUGCAAAAGUGACUCCCUCCAUCGCUGAUGAUUGCUCUAGGUGUUCCAAAUCUCAAAGAUGUUAGUCUUAAUAAAAUCUGAAACAACUUUUGAAUCAUUAGUUUUAGUGGCUUUCGCUUCUACCCAUUUAGAAACAUAAUCAACAGCCAAUAAAAUGUAAAGAAAACCAUUUGAAGAUGGAAAAGGUCCCAUGAAAUCAAUGCCCCACACAUCAAAGAUCUCAACAACCAAAAUAGGGGUUUAUGGCAUUUGAUUUCUUGGGCCUAAAUUACCUGUUCAUUGACAACGAUCACAUGUUGCACAAAACUCGUACGCAUCCUUAAACAAACUAGGCCAAUAAAAACCACUCUCUAACACCUUAAGAGCUGUCCUCUUUGCUCCAAAAUGGCCACCACAUGCAUAAGAAUGACAAAAAGUUAGAAUAGAUUUAAACUCAGAUUCGGGGACACAACUUCUAAUCAAUUGAUCAGUGCAAUAUUUCCACAAAUAAGGAUCAUCCUACACGUAGUAUUUGGCGGUUUUGACAAGCUUAUCUUUUUGAACAUGUGUAAAAUCAUCCGGAAUCCUUUUGAUGACCUUUUAAUUGAUAAUAUCUGCAUACUAAGGGUCAGUAAUCUUUAAUGAAAACAGUUGCUCAUCUGGAAAAUUUUCACGUAAAGGGAUGAGAUCUUCCUCUGUGUUUGAAUGCACAAGUCAGCUAAGAUGAUCUGCUACAACAUUCUCACUCGCUUUCUUAUCCUUGAUCUCCAAGUCAAACUCUUGAAGUAGAAGUAUCCAUCGAAUGGGUCGCGGUUUUGCAUCUUUUUUUGUGAAUAGAUACUUCAAAGCUGCAUGGUCAGAAAACACAAUAACUUUAGUCCCAAUCAGAUAAGAUCUAAAUUUUUCUAAAGCAAAUACAACAGCUAGAAGCUCCUUCUCUGUUGUUGAAUAAUUCAACUGUGCAUCAUUGAAUGUUUGAGAUGCAUAAUAGAUGACAUGUGGCACUUUGUUGACACGCUGCCCUAGAACUGCACCAACAACAUAGUCUGAAGCAUCGCACAUCAACUCAAAAGGUAAACUCCAAUCUGGUGGCAUGAUCACAGGAGCCGUGGAUAACAACUCCUUAAGCUUGUUGAAUGCUACCACACACUCUUCAUUCAUAUCAAAUGUUACAUCCUUUUGAAGUAAACGGCACAAGGGUCUAGAAAUCAUUGAGAAGUCCUUCAUAAACCUACGGUAGAAACCUGCAUGUCCAAGAAAAGAACGAACCUCCAUGACAGUAGUAGGGAUGGGUAAAGAACUAACAAGUUCUACUUUAGAUUUAUCAACUUCAAUUCCCUUUUUAGAUAUGAUAUGCCCUAGAACAAAUCCAUGCGAAACCAUGAAAUGGCAUUUUUCCCAAUUUAACACCAGAUUAGUUUCUUGACAACGUUUUAAAACUAGGGACAGAUUAUGUAGACAUGUAUCAAAAGAAUCACCAUAAACUGAAAAAUCAUCCAUGAACACUUCAAUUAUUUUCUCAAUCAUAUCAGAAAAUAUACUUAUCAUACACCUUUGAAAUGUGGCGGGAGCGUUGUAAAGUCCAAACGGCAUCCUUCGAUAUGCAAAUGUGCCAAAUGGACAUGUGAAAGUCAUCUUUUCUUGAUCCUCCGGAGCAACUGCAAUUUGAUUAUAUCCAGAAUAUCCAUCAAGAAAGCAAUAAUGAGAAUGACCAGCUAACCUUUCUAACAUUUGAUCUAUGAAUGGGACUGGAAAGUGAUCCUUGCGUGUGGUGUUAUUUAUCUUCCGAUAAUCUGUACAGACUCGCCAACUAUUUUGCACACGUGUAGGCACUAGCUCACUAGCUUCAUUCUUAACAACUGUGACUCCGGAUCGCUUCGGAACUACUUGAAUAGGGCUCACCUAGUUGUUGUUCGAAAUAGGAUAUAUGAUGUCAACAUCAAGAAGUUUGAUAACCUCUUUCUUGACAACCUCCAUCAUAAGUGGGUUCAAACGGCGUUGAGCUUCCCUUGUUGGUUUUGCACCUUCCUCCAGCAGAAUCCUAUGCAUACAUGUAGCUGGAUUUAUACCUUUGAUAUCUGCAAUGCUCCAAGCUAUGGCAGUUUUGUGAUCCUUCAGUACCCGGAUCAGUUUCUCCCCCUCUUCUGCUGUGAGUUGUGACAAUAUGAUAACCGGUAACGUUUCAUCCUCUCCCAAAAAUGCAUACUUCAAAUGUUCAGGAAUCGGUUUAAGCUCCAAUUUAGGUGCCUGAAUCACAUAAGGAAGAGUUUUUUCGUUAGAAGUAGGAGAGAAAUAAAAUAGGAAGAACACUUACCACCAAUUGGUGAAAGAGACUCAAGAGAGGCCACUGUUUGGAUUAAUUCUUCUUCAAUGUGCUCUGAAUAAUUAAAAUUUCCAUGUGUAAUGCUAUGCAUUAAUGCCUUCUCUAAAUUAUCUUGUCCCACACCUUCAUUAAAACAAUCCUGCACAAAAUAGUCAAACACAUCAAUAGACAAACAAGAUUCUAAUUCACUAGGAUACCUCAUAGCAUUGAAGAUUCUGAACUUGACGCUUUCCCCAUCAAUUUCCAUGGUUAAGGUACAAUCGUAAACAUUAAUUUUCGUACGUGCCGUUCUAAGGAAUGGUCUUCCCAAUAUAAGAGGAAGUGCAGUAGGCAUAGGGUCGUGUUCCAUCUCAAGAACAAAAAAGUCAGCGGGAAAAAUGAGCUCAUUCACUUGCACAAGUACAUCCUCCAAUAGGCCUUUGGGAUAUCUAUUUGAACGAUCUGCCAACUGGAUUACUAUCUUUGUUUCCUUCAAGUCUCCUAGGUUCAAUGACUCAUACACUGAAUAUGGCAUUAGAUUGAUGGAUGCCCCCAAAUCACACAAUGCUCUCCCAAACUCUUUCCCUCCAAUUACACAUGGAAUGGUAAAGCUACCGGCAUCUUUCAACUUCAGUGGCAGCUUUCUCUGCAAAACAGCUGAUACUUUCUCGCUCAAUGCCACAAUUUCUUGAUCAUUGAAUCUCCUCUUGUUCGUACAAAGCUCUUUAAGGAACUUUGCAUACUUGGGAACUUGUUUUAUGGCAUCUAAAAAAGUAAGUUCACUUGGACUUUCCGGAAAGUAUCCAAGAUUUCCUUAUCAGUUUGCUCUUUCUUAGACUUCAUAAACCUACGAGGAAAAGGAACAGGGACACAUGAGUUAAAUGAAUUUUGAACUUCUUUACUUACCUUAUCAGAAUCUUUUUUGUUCAAUUCUGUAUCUUUAGAAGACUUUUCAGUUUCUGUUGAAGCCUCAUCUUGCUCAAGAUUCUUGGUUUGUAGCUCCCCUUGUUCAAUUGUGUCUUUUCUAGUCCUCUUUUGCAUCCUCGACUGCUCAAAAACUUCUUUUCCACUCCUUAAAGUCACAACAUUCAUCUGCUCCACAUUUGGAUUCACCACGGUUUUGCUAGGCAACCUUCCUGGUUGGUGUUGUUGCCCCAUCAAACUUGCUAACUGACUCAUUUGGCGCUCAAGGUUUUCAAUUGCUUUGUCUGUUUUCUGUUGAUGAGACUGAGUAGAGUUAGCUAAAGAAGCAAUUAAAUCUUCAAGAGACUUACUUGGAGCUUGUUGUUGUUGAGGCUGAAAUGGUGCAUGCGGUCUUGCUUGAAAGAAGCCAGGCGGACGGUUAUAGUUGUUGGGAACAGAUUGUUGUCUGUUAUCUUGAUUGUUCCACUUUAAGUGUGGAUGAUCGCGCCACCCCGCGUUAUAGUUGUUGGAGUAUGGAUCAUACUUUUGCCUUUGUUGCCAUUGAAAUCCUCCUAAUGCAUUAGUUUGCUCAAGACCACCUUGAUCCAUCAACGAAGGGCACAUGUCUGUGGCAUGUCCCAUCAUUAAACAUACACCGCACACCUGUUUUGGAGCCACCAUAACCUGUUGCACAAGAUUAGUCAAGUUAGCUAAUUGUAAUUCAAUACUAGAGUUAGCACUUACCUCGUUAACUUUCUUAAAAGGUAGCUCAUCUCUCCCUCCAAAUUGUCGUGUGUUACCAGCAAUGUUCUUUAGCAAUGCCUUAGCAUUAGUUUGUGUCUUGUCCAUGAAUGCUCAUCCACUUGCUGCAUCAAGCAUUACACGAUCAGUACCACACAAUCCCUCAUAAAAAUAUUGUAUUAAAAGAUGCUCUGAAAUUUGAUGAUUAGGACAAGAUGCAACCAAAUGUGUGAAUCGCUCAUAGUAAUCUCCAAAGGGUUCUCCAUGUUGUUGUUGGAUUGCACAUAUGUCCUUCCUUAUGCUUGCAGCUUUUGUGGCCGGAAAAUAUUGCUCUAAGAAUGCUUGCUUCACCUGGUUCCAUGUGUUCAUUGAUCCCGGAGGUAAACUGUAAAGCCACUCCCUUGCCUUGGCUUCUAAUGUAAAUGGGAAUGCCCUCAACUUGACUUGCUCCUCAUCCACAUUUGCUGGUCUCAUUCCCGAGCAUACCACGUGAAACCCCAUGAGAUGCUUGUUGGCAUCCUCUGUUGAGAAGCCAUGGAACUUAGUCAAGUAGUGAAUCAUGCCGGACUUGAGCUCAAAUCCUCCGUCUACAUUUGGAUAGGUGAUGCACAAUGGUUGUUGAUCCGUAUUCGGCGUUGCCAACUCCCUCAAAGUACGGUUAUCAGCCAUGCCUUCUUGUGGUUCUUCCUCCUCUUCAGAACUCAAAUGAAGUGGAGAAGAUGGUGGUAAGGACACCGAUGCACGCUUCGGCUUGAUUUUUCUCUGAAGCUUUCGAAGUGUUCGUUCAAGCUCAGGAUCGUACGAAGCUAGAUCAAUGCUCUUGGACCUUCGAGUAUGCAUAUACUACGAAGUGUACUUGAAAUAAAAACAAAAACAAAAACACUAAUGAGACAAGAAAAGAAAACAACAGAAAAAUAAGUAAUUAAAAAUAACAAUCCCCGGCAACACGGCGCCAAAAAUUUGAUAAGAUUAAAAGCACACCACAAAGUAGCACACAAAUGUCCUAUUGAUUUCCUUAUUAAUACUAAGAUUUGUCAAUUGUAGCAUAUGAAAAUAAGGGUCUUUCCCGCAGAAGAUUGUUUUAUCUAACUACCUAAAAUGUCACAAAAACUGGGUUGCUGUCCCUACUGACCAGCCACCGAAAAAUAAUUAUUAGACCAACUUAUACUUAUCUAAAGUCUACGAACUUUUAUAUACAGAUACUAGACACACAAAGCUACACUCACACAAAUUUUUGGGAUUUUUGGAGUUGAUUUUCUAUUUAAAUUAAAUCGAACAAAAACAUGAUAGAAACAAAUUUUAAGUAGUUCACAAAUUAAGAAAAACGAGUUAGGGGUAUUGCUAUCCACCACCAAAUAAUCAUGCAAACACAUUAUGUUUCAUUCAAAUUUCUUUUAUUUCCGGAUGAAGAUGCUCAAGUUGGCUCAAUGUUAGAACUCAACCUAUUACUCUUUCUUACGUAGUAUGUUAAGAGAAUGGCGUUUUCAACUUAACUUAGUUCCUAGCAUGCAAUCUAGAAUGGCGUGUUCAUAGAUUUAACAAGAAGAAAUCAUUAAGAACGAAAAGAGUUUGAGUCAUCACAAGGCAUCGUAAGUACUAACGUUGUCUUACUUAUCCUAGAAAUUGGUUCACAUGUUAAUCGCAAUUAACAAGUACUACUUUAGAACAUAUGUAGGUCCUCAUUCGACAAGGGCAGGCACACACAUAUUCAUAGCAUUAGAAUCCUAGAUAUGCUUACUACGUAUGCAUCCAUAGAAAACAAAUAAAGAAUUCAUCAAUGAGACAAGUAGUGAACCAAGUUUCAUCCAUUCAUAAAAGUAAUUUAACGAAAUGUCAUAACAAAAUUGCAAUCAUAUUCGGGGCUUCAAAACAGCCCCUAACUUCUAAAAAAUUAGUUACACAUAGUUCUCAAAAUAAACCAAAAGAAAGACAUGAGUUUGAGAAGAUAAAACCGAGAGAAGAGAAUGCCAAGAUUUCCUCCUUCCUUUCCUUCCUUUCUCAACGCAGCAGCCUUGCCUUUUUUCCUUCCUUUCCUUCCUUUUUUUUUCUAUCUUUUUUUCCUCUAAAGAACUCCCUUUUGCUGCUGCAACCUGCAGCCUUUAUGCCCAUGCUUGCUGCCCCAUUUCUACUCCAUAACUCGCCCCACUAACAGCCAUUUAGUGAUGACAAUAAGUGAGAGGAAAUGGUAAAACAACUGUAACUUUUUGGGCAACCUUUAUGCCAAUUACUCCCACUUAAUCCUCAUCUUUAAUUCCAUUUCAUCUGAUAUUUGAAGAGGUGUCAGCUAGCUUGUUCUUGGUUGCAUCAGUUUUGGCUGCUAGUUUUAUUGGAUUUAUUGCCUUCAAUGCAGUUACAAACUGCUCAGCAUCUUGGAAACCUUUCAGUGUUAAAAUGGCCAUAACUUCUUCUAAAAAAGUGAUAUUAACAAUCCGCGAAAUGCUCCAGAAAAUAGACAUCCGUAGCUUUCCAAGCAUAUAAGGCUCAUUCUCUAAUUCAUUCUGAUCUGUUCGCAACUUGCUUCCAAAGUCAGCUGAUCUGCACAGGCAGUUUUGACGAAUUUGUUACUUAAUAUCCAACUUGUGCUAUUUUUGUUUUCUUUGCUUGACAAAUCCUAGAAAACACAAAAACAAAGUAAAUAGCUCAAAAAUAUAAGAAACUAACUAAGAAAAGACAAGUGAAUUUGAUGUAAAGUAUAUAUAAAUAUGAGCUUAUCAAUCGGUAUAAACAGAAAUACUGCCCACUCACAUGGAGUUUGCCCAACAACUCCCUAGCACAACACAUCAAGGCGUCAUGACGAUCGGCACCUAGAACAAUAAUCAAAUUCAACCUCAGAAAUCAUAUCGAUAGAAUAUAUAACUUAUAUAAAACACGUCACUACGUAGUUUGAUCCGGAAGAUCUGCAACUCAGAUUUCAAAUCCAUAACUUCCAAAGGUCCACAAUAUACCUCUAGGACAACAUCCUAAAAUUUCAUUACCAUCCAACGGUCGGAUCUCCGUCAAUUGUCAAAACCAAGUGACGGUUAACAUUCUAUUUUAUGAACUUACAACUCCAAUUCCGAAAGAUCCGUAAAUCGGAUCCAUAAGUUCCUAUAAUCCUUAAAUAUUACGUAUUACAACGUAUCAAAGUUUGGUGACGAUCCGACGGUUGGAUCGUAAAUUCACAUUUUCACCUAACCACGAAUCGAAACGAACUUAGGUUCAAUUACUCAAUUUACGUCCAUCAAUUAUCAAAACUGAACCUAGAACCUUAAACACAUGCUAAGAAUGACAUUGGAAGGUCAUUCGGCACGCGCCGCCACACGGGCCGCCGCGGGUGGCAAUCGGCCGCCCCGGCUUGCCGGAAAAUCCAACUAUUUCCAAAAAUUCUCAAAAAAUACAUAAUUGAAGAUCUCAAUGAGUAGAGUAAACUUUAUACCUGAGGCCAAGGUCAAUUUGGCCUGGAAGAACUCCAAUUUCACCAAAAUCCAUGCGGACCCUAGAAUUGGGUGAGUUCCAAUUCGUUCUCAAAUCAACUCCGAUGCUCCAACUAAUGCUUGGGCUUUGUUCUGGGCCUCAAUGGGAAGCUAUGGGUGGUGGCAAUUGGAAGCAAUUGCUUCGCGAUUGGGUGAUUCGAAGCCAAAGCCGCCGCACCCCUCCCUGCGGUUUUCUCCAUUUUCAAAGCCAAAUCUCUCCAAUUUGAGAUGGAAUGGGUAGAGGAAGGCUCCUAGAGUGUUUCCCAUGAGGUUUCUUGAAGCAAUUCGCCGGAAAAAUGAGUGAAAAUCGUCGGAAAAAUAGAGAUGGGUGCGCGGGUAAACGGGUUGGGGAAAAACCCGUUUCUGAUCUUCUCUCCUCCGCUUCUCGCCCUCUCUCCUUUCCUCCUUUCCUCUGUUCCAAUUGGCCAUCCUCUCCUUCUCUCUUCUCCUGAUUCGUCCCCUCCUUCUUCUUUCAGAUUGGGCAGUUUUGCCCAAUCCCAUUUUUUUUUUCCUUUCUUCUUUCUUCCCCACUGCCCAAUCCUCAUUCUUCUUAUUCUUCUUACGCACACACACCCACAAACCUUCUUCUCUCAUCCCAGCCAUCCAUUUAAUUCUUCAUUAAAUCUGGGCCGUCCAUUAUCAUAAAAAAAAUUCCAGAUUUUACUAAAUUAUAAUUCCUAAAAUGCCCAAAUUUCAAACGUUAAUAAAUUCUUCGAUAUAACUCCAAAUCACGCACCUCUGCGCCCACGCGUCCGUAGCGACGAGUACUAUGAGGAUAUGUCAAGAAAACAAAUCUUAGAUGGCACGACACAACGAUUAACCUCGAAUAAUGCACGUGCCUCAAAGGGCAUUUUUGUAAAAUCCUUUAUUAAAACUUUAAAACUCUUAAAAUCAGGAACGGGCUGUCACAAUCUACCCACCUUAAAAAAUUUCGUCCUCGAAAUUUACACAAUCUUUACCAUCCAUCGAUAUCCAUAAAACAACCUGAAACACCUCUCUUAUUCGAUCUUUUGUCUCCCAAGUAAUUUCUUCUGCUGAAUGAUUCCACCAUAAAACUUUUACCAAGUACACUGUUUAAUUUCUCAGGACUUCCUCUUUCUAUUCCAAAAUAAUCAUGGGUUCCUCAUUAUAAGUCAAAUCCGGAUUAAUCUCUAAGGGCUGAACCAGAAUCAUACACGACGAAUCUGCUACUUUGUAAUGAAGCAUCAAAACAUGAACUACACUAUACACCUUAUCCAAUCCCGAAGGUACUCAAACUUGAAAGUAUUUCACUGAUUCCUUCAAUAGUCAAAGACGGCCUGAUAUACUUAGGAUUUAACUUGUCUUCCAUUUCAACCCGAACCGCACCUUCCAAGGUGAUAAUUUCAAAAACAUCCAAUCUCCUGCAUUACACGUCCGGUCAGUGGCAUGUUUGUCUGCUAAGCUCUUUAGCUGAUCCUGGCUAAGUUCCAAGUUAGACUUAAUUACUUGAAUAUUCCGAGUAGUCUCCUCCACUAACUCAGGGCCUUGAAUACCAUCCGUCCACAAUUCUAACAAUUUCGAAACACAAGACACAACUUUCCACGGCCUUAUGGCGUUGUUUUAGGGAAUAAACUGAAAGGACCAACAUACCCAAGAAGUUCAACAGAUCCGUAAGCCCAAAUCUCUUUUCCAUAAGACAGAUAAAUAAUUGUUGCACUUCUGGAAAGGUUAUUGCUCUUUCAUUGAAGAAUAUUGCGCUGAUUUAGUAAGCCAAUCAAUUAUCACCUCAAUUUCAUCAUAACCAUCUCGUGAACGAGGAACUUGCACACAUAAUCUAUAUUAAUAUUUUCUCAUUUCCGCUGUGGAACGGGAAGUAACUACAUCAAUCCAAAAGACUUAUUUCUUUCCGUUUUAACCUGCUGACAGAUGUUACAUCUAUUUAUAUUUACAAACAUUUCUUUUUUCAUACCUGACCAAUAGUAAAAUGAUCAAAUGGUAUAAUACAUCGUAGUACCUCCAGGAUGCAUUGUAUAAGUUGAACAGUACGCAAAUUCCAAAAUUCCUUCCUUUAAUUUCAUAACAUUAGGUAAAAACACCUUGUUCUCUUGCAUAAGCUUGCCAUCUGAUUCUCUAACUCUGAGGUCUAUAUUUUUCCCGUUAUUCCUUGCUUUAAAUAAAUUCUUGAAUUUCUUCAUCAAACGCUUGAGUCUCGAGUACGACCUACCAAAUAGGCCUAACUUGAAAAUUAGCAAGUACGUUUUCUUUUCGAUCUUCCAUUCCCAACUUUACUCCAGUAGAUCUCAAAUCCACAAGAAGAUGAACAUGGCAAUCGUACCAAGCAUUAAUUCUCGCUGGGGUCUUCCUACUAAAAGCAUUGGCCACAACAUUUGCACGAUCACCCUGGUCGUGCAAUCAUAAUCACUAAGCAACACAAUCCACCUUCGUUGCCUAAGAUUAAGAUACCUCUGAAUAAACAGAUAUUGGAUACUCUUUUGAUUCGUAAAAAUCUUGCACUUUUCUUCCCAUAAAGACAAUGUCUCCAAAUCUUCAAAGCAAAGAUGAUAGUUGCUAAUUCUAAAUCAUAAGUAGGGUAAUUCAUCUCAUGAGGUUUCAAUUGUCGUGAAGUGUAGCAAUCACUCUAUCAUGUUGCAUCAACACACAUCCUAACCCAUUCAAGGAUACAUCACUGUAGACCUCAUAAUUACCUUUAUCAUCUGGGAGUGCUAAAACAGGUGCAUGAGUGAGAUAAUGCUUCAGUUGCUGAAACUUUGUUCACAAUUUUCAUCCACUCAAACCUAACCUCUUUUCUAGUCGAUCCCGUCAAUGGCAAAGCAAGGACUGAAAAAUCCUUUACAAACAUCUAUAGUAGCCUGCUAAACCAAGAAAACUCAAUACCUCAGUGACGGUUCGAGGUUGUUUCCAAUUCUCCCCAGUUGUCACUCAUUGAGGAUAUACUUGAAUACCUUGUGUAGAUAUCACAUGUCCCAAAAAUGCCACUUGAUUUGUCCAAAAUUGACAUUUGCUAAACUUAGCAUACAACCGAUGUUCCCUCAACCAUUGCAACACCAACUCAAAAUGACUAGCAUGCUUUACUAUCAACUUAAGAGUAUACCAAACCUCAACUCUUUCCUUGAAAUCACAUAGGCACCUCUAAGCUGAUUAAACAAUCAUCAAUGUGCGGCAAUGGAUAACGGUUCUUACUCGUUACCCGAUUCAAUUACCUAAUAUCCAUUCAUAUUCUUAAGAUCCCGUCUUUCUUCCUUAUAAACAAAGCUGGGGUUUUCCAAAGUAACGUACUAGGUUGACUGAAACCUUUAUCAACCAAUUCCUGUGACUGAAUUUUCAAUUCCUUUAACUCUGUAGGAACCAAUCUAUAGCAUAAAGUCUGUACUUGGAGACAAUUCAAUAGUGAACACCACAUCUCUGUCUGGUGGCAAUCCAUGUAAAUCAUUCCAGAAACAAAUUAGGAAAAUGUCUACCACUCGUAUGUCAUCCACAAUACUAGGAGUACGAUCCUGCAACACCACAUGAGCUAGGUAUCCUUGGCAACCUUUUGAUAACAAUCUUUUUGCUCUCACAACAGAAAUAACGGCAUGCCUCACUCCACUUUGCUCAAUCACAAAAGUAACCUCUGAUAAUCCAAGACAAUGGAAAGUAACUGAUUUCCCAUAGCAAUCCAUAUUGGCACGAUUAUAAUGCAACCAAUCUGUGCUUAAAAUCACAUCGAAAUCCACAAUGUCUAACGGGAUACGAUUCGCUGGCAUAACUACUUCUUCCACCAUCACUGGACACCCUGAAUAGUCAUAACCAACAUAGAAUGACCUACCUAUUUACUUGCUUAACGAAUCCAACAAAUAAGUUAUGGGUAUUACGGCCUGCAGCCCGCAAUAACGAUAACUCACUGUCGUCUCAAUAAGUAAGCAACAAUUCUUAAGGGUGCAAUAUUAUCAUUUUACUCCUCACAAGGAAAAUACAUAUAUACGCCUCGAUCGUGCUCAUUCACUACUUCCUUUGGCAACAUCGUCAAUAAUAAGAAUUAUAUCGGUCGGAGUCAGCUAGAAUGACCUGUACGGUUGAGUUUACAGCUCGACCAUCCAUGUUAGCACAUAAGUCAGAGUCACCUGUAAUGACCUGUACGACUUAUUCAUCAAUUUUCCAAGUAAUAUGUCAAGGAAGAUUGCUGGGUAACAACUGAUAUUAGGGACAAUUCAUACCUUUAUGUCUCAUCUAACCACAUGAACACAUUCACAACUUCCCACACUCUCCAAAGUGCCUAAUAUUACCUACAGUACAAAGAUACAUUUCCUCUACCAUAGUCACCUUGUCUCUAAAAUCUGGGAUCACUAGUAAAUCUAUCACUUCGCCUCUGACUAAUGGCACUAAAACCUCAGCUGGGAAAAUUAGCUCUAGUUUCACUUCUUUUGAAGCUCUGAGUCUUCCGAGGUCUUUGAUAUGACGGAUCUUUAACUUAUCGUCUUUCUUCUGAUUCUCAUUCUUUUCUUAUUCCUCUUUACUCUCGUUGAUCAUGUUCUCAGAGUCCUCAAUGCUCAACAACAUCUCGUAAACUCCUGGUAAAAAGUACAAUGAAUAGUGGUCACCAAAUAACGCCACUUCUUAUUAUCCAGCCAAAAACGACAUAACACCUUGAUCGAAUUAGCAACAACAUCCGAAUGGAAACAAGGCAAGUCUGUAAACUCUCUAUAAUAAUAUGCCGAAGGAAUGAACUUUUCCUUAAACAAUUCUUUAAACGACUUCCAAACAGCUGUUCUUCCGAUAACAUCGGAUAACAUUCCUAUCUCCAUCAGAAUGCAGAUUCAACAUUCAGAAACUAGGUAGUCAUGUCGACCCACCUAUCGGAAUGAAGAUUCCCUUGACUUUGCAUAAUCCGAAACGUCUUUUCCCAAAUGAUUAAGCCAUCGAUCGGCUCCAUUAGGUUCUUCAUUUCCCUAAAGUGAUUCAAAUUUAACUUAUAACCAGUCUCAAAAGGUUCCUUUAGAUAAUAGACUGAAUCACAAUGGCAAUAGUUUCCCCCCAAACUACUAUAUCAGGGAAAUUAGGCUCAUCCGAACUACGUGGCUCGUUACGAGGCGGUAUAGUUCUGACAGAAGACACUAGGAAAUUCUCAAGAUGUCCAGAAUUGCAACCUAGGCUCUGAUACCAACUAACACACCCCAUCCCGAAGGAGGGCAUGCUGGCCGUCACGUGAGUGUGACGUAACCAUUUACACAAUUCGGAAGCUAUAAAGAUACAAUUACUAAGAUGAAACACCCGAGGGUGAGUCCUACUUUUGUGAAUUCUGUCAGAACACCGUUGGAUUCCUCGUAGCCACCAAAGCUCUGCUAACUUGAACCUAGAGGGGCGCAAAACAAAGUUGAGUGGGUCAGUAAAACAAAGUUUUUCGAAAACAUUUCAUUUAAAACAUUUCUAACCCCUCGCUGUAAAACCUAUAUACUUUCCUAGAAAAUAACAUAAUAGCAUAUACCUUCAAAUAUCUCAAAUCAUCAAUCUUUAUCAAAACCAGAAAGUAUGUCAUGCUAUAAUGUCAAAAACAGAAUAGGGAUGCAUCAAUAUAACAGGUGAAAUAAAGAAUCAACCGGAGACCAUGCAGUUGGUCCUGUACGGUUAUUCUAUAGCUCAAUAUCCAAUCCAACCGGAGUCACCACGGUGACCUGUACGGCGCUACUCUGCACAUAAGUCGGAACUACCUGAAGUAGUCUGUACGACAAGAAUGGUGUAAUAAUACGCUCUAGUGCUUCUCUCAUCAAUCAUUUGUGCACAUAAUCUAAGGUCACCUACCAGUCGGAACCACCUCUAGUGGUCUGUACGACUAGCAUGUCGGAACCCUCUCAUGGUCUAUACGACAUGCACCUACUUGGAUCCAAGGUGAGCGUGCGGUGCAGUGAAUAAUAUAAGCACUAACACCAAGGGUGUAAGUUAUGAGCUCUUAACACAAUUCACAUCAUCAAUGAUUCACAUGAAUAACAUAAAACUCACCUGAUACUCACAUGUGCGUCCACAUCACCAAUUCACAUAUAUAUAUGCAUCAAUUAUCAAUUCAUAUAUCUCAUAAUACGCAUGCAUGGCAUUUUAAAACAUACUUUCAUUUAAACUCAAUUUCUGGAAAAUUGAUAGUAUAUAGGUAUAAACAGAAAUACUGCCCACUCACCUGGAGUUUGCCCAACAACUCCCUAGCACAACACAUCAAGGCGUCAUGACGAUCAGCACCUAGAACAAUAAUCAAAUCCAACCUCAUAAAUCAUAUCGAUAUAAUAUAUACCUUAUAUAAAACACGUCAAUACGUAGUUCGAUACGGAAGAACUGCAACUCAGAUUUCAAAUCCAUAACUUCCAAAGGUCCACAAUAUACCUCUAGGACAACGUCCUAAAAUUUCAUUACCAUCCAACGGUCGGAUCUCCGUCAAUUGUCAAAACCAAGUGACGGUUAACAUUCUAUUUUAUGAACUUACAACUCCAAUUCCGAAAGAUCCGUAAAUCGGAUCCAUAAGUUCCUAUAAUCCUUAAAUAUUACGUAUUACAACGUAUCAAAGUUUGGUGACGAUCCGACGGUUGGAUCGUAAAUUCACAUUUUCACCUAACCACGAAUCGAAACGAACUUAGGUUCAAUUACUCAAUUUACGUCCAUCAAUUAUCAAAACUGAACCUAGAACCUUAAACACAUGCUAAGAAUGACAUUGGAAGGUCAUUGGGCACGCGCCGCCACACGGGCCACCGCGGGUGGCGGUCGGCCGCCCCGGCUAGCCGGAAAAUCCAACUAUUUCAAAAAAUUCUCAAAACAUACAGAAUUGAAGAUCUCAAUGAGUAGAGUAAACUUUAUACCUGAGGCCAAGGCCAAUUUGGCCUGGAAAAACUCCAAUUUCACAAAAAUCCGUGCGGACCCUAGAAUUGGGUGAGUUCCAAUUCGUUCUCAAAUCAACUCCAAUGCUCCAACUAAUGUUUGGGCUUUGUUCUAGGCCUCAUGAGGAAGAUAUGGGUGGUGGCAAUUGGAAGAAAUUGCUUCGGGAUUGGGUGAUUCGAAGCCAAAGCCGCCGCACUCUCCAAUUUUGAGAUGGAAUGGGUAGAGGAAGGCUCCUAGAGUGUUUCCCAUGAGGUUUCUUGAAGCAAUUCGCCAGAAAAACGGGUGAAAAUCGUCGGAAAAAUAGAGAUGGGUGCGCAGGUAAACGGGUUUGGGAAAAACCCGUUUCUGAUCUUAUCUCCUCUGCUUCUCGCCCUCUCUCCUUUCCUCCUUUCCUCUGUUCCGAUUGGCCAUCCUCUCCUUCUCUCUUCUCCUGAUUUGUCCCCUCCUUCUUCUUUCAGAUUGGGCAGUUUUGCCUAAUCCCUUUUUUUUUUUUUUUCUUCUUUCUUCCCGACUGCCCAAUCCUCAUUCUUCUUAUUCUUCUUACGCACACACACCCACAAACAUUCUUCUCUCAUCCUAGCCAUCCAUUUAAUUCUUCAUUAAAUAUGGGCCGUCCAUUAUCAUAAAAAAAAUUCCAGAUUUUACUAAAUUAUAAUUCCUAAAAUGCCCAAAUUUCAAACGUUAAUAAAUUCUUCGAUAUAACUCCAAAUCACGCACCGUCUGCGCCCACGCGUCCGUAGCGACGAGUACUACUAGGAUAUGUCAAGAAAACAAAUCUUAGAUGGCAUGACACAACGAUUAACCUCGAAUAAUGCGCGUGCCUCAAAGGGAAUUUUUGUAAAAUCCUUUAUUAAAACUUUAAAACUCUUAAAAUCAGGAACGGGCUGUCACAAAACUCAACUCAAUCAAACUUCUUUUUACACCCAGUAAUCUACUUAAAUAUAAAAAAUAAAACCCUAACCAGUCCAUCAUAUCCAUGGAGCAAAGCCCCUUCUCUCUCUUUAAAAAAAUCAUUCCAUCUCCCAUGGUUGUCAAUUUGCACCCCCAUCUACUCCUCCGUAGUCAUCCAAACCUCUUCCUCUUCCUUUUCUUCAUCAUUUGACAUCUCUAAAUUUCUAGAGCACUAAUUAGCUUAAUAAUUGGUAUGUGUUUAAUCGAUUGGUUCAAUUUUUACGUAUUGAUUCAUUUUUCUUUUCAAUUAAAUGAGCUUCUGGUUAGAGUGUUUAAUGAGUUUUGUAUGUUUCAAUUAAAUGAGAAUCUUCUUGACUCUAUAUUCCUAUCUGUGGUCGAAAAAUGGGUACGUCCAUGAUAACUUUUGGUAGAUCAAUGAAUAUUUUUAACCGUGGAUUUUUAUUUUUAUUUUGUCGAAACCGUGGAUAUUUAUUAGAUACAAAAGUUGUGAACAACAAUUCACAUUACAUUGAAUUGUGACUAAAAAAUAUAUCGCCUUUGCACGUUUUAAAGGCGAACUCAUAGCUAAGCAGUUUUUAUUGUGGAGAAAUUUCGAGAAUUGAUUAAACCUGGAUUUGUAAUUGAGUUUAUGCAUUUUAAUGAUUAAACAGAUAAAUAUUUCAACUACAUAUGGAUUUAAUAUCAUAGUAUAUUUUAGCCUCUAUAUGCCACAAAAGUUGCGGACAAAAAUUCACAAUACAUAGAAUUGUGGUAAAAAAGUAUAUCGCCUUUGCACAUUUUAGAGGUGAACUCAGUGGUAAGCAUUUUUUAUUGUUGACCAAAACUUUGGGAAUUUAUCUAACUUGAAUGUAAAAUUGAGCUUAUGCAUUUUAAUGAUUAAAUUCAUAAAUAUCUCUAUCGCAUAUGAAUUUAAUAUCGUAGUGUCUUUUAGCCUCUACAUUGGUAUUUGUGGCAAAAAAAUGGGUACCUCCAUGAGAAACUUUUGCAGAUCGAUGAAUAUUUUCAAUCUGAAUAUUUAUUAGAUACUAGAAAUUAUAAGUCUAUUCGCGAAAGUCUAAGUCAAUGCCACGUACAAUAUUUGUUAAGACAUAUUUAGGGAACUGUUAUUAGCAUUCCAAAAAUCUCAUUCUACACUUUGCACAAGUAUAUUUUUCUUUCUAAGUAUAGACGCCUAAUUAGAUUUUUGGAGUGCUAACAACAAUUUGUAUAUUUAUAUACAUUUUAUUUUAGUUUGGAAAUCGACUUCUUUUUUUUUUCUUUCUUUAUCAAGUUGGGAGUAUUACUGACUGUGACCCUGUGCAACUAGUUGUUGAUUCGUUUUGAAUAAUCAACAUUAUUUCUUACAAUGUCUUGGGCGUAUGAAUAACAGAAAGAAAACGGUCAUGAUACAAGUUGAAUAAGAGUAGUACUAAUUAGUAAACAACUUGUGAACGAUGUUUGCUUAUAACCAAGUGGCAUGAAGGGACAAGUGUGUAUGUUUCAUGCAUC